CCAUCCUAUUCUUAUGUUUCUUACCUUGACCCACUUGUCUAGUCGUUCGUUACUUGGCUCAUUUUCUUCUCAAUCGAAAUUGGGUGCACAAAACUAUAAGGGUAGUGACUUGGCUGAUAGCAAAUAGUUUGAUGCUUACUUGAGAUUAGAUUAGUGGUUACUUGUUGCUACACUGACUUAGUUACUUGGUUAAGUAGUUGGAUGGGAAAAUGACCUAUCAUCUUUUCUUCCCCGUUAAAGAAAUGCAUUUGGAGUGUAUGAAACCAGGUUACCUCUUAGUUGCAUUCUUGGACUGCGGAAUCGCCCAGUUAAAGAAUACCUUCCAAAAGGCUGCCAGCUUGUAAAUGAAGCGAGGGGUCCCGAGUUUACUUGAAUCUUCUAAUAUAAUUAUCAAUGAACAACCAGAUAUCAUAAUUCUCGUGUGCGCCGGUAAAGUCAUUCCUUUCUUGUGGAGAGGCAUGGUAAAUGUUAAGAACCUAAUUAAGAAGUUCGAAAAUGAGUGUUUUUUGCGUACUAGGAUCACCGUCAAUCAGCAGCAGUUUUGUUUUGAUAGGACGACACCGAGGAUAAGAUUAACAGAGAACCAGUCCAAUAAUAAACACUUUUCGCGCAAAGACUCGAUGCUAUACUACUAGGGAAAUCCUGCAGCUGAGAGGUAGCUCACGAAUCUGUCGUAUAAACUGUUCUCUUGCUCUUUGACAACAAGGAGGUCCUCAUAGAUAGACUUAAGGUUGCUAUGGGAUGUAAACACUCUUUUGACGAGGUCAGCAUCGGUAUAGACCUGCUCCCAUGAAUCGAGGCUUUUGAGCUUAGCAAUGAGGUGCUGAUGUCUAUCGGGCAUCUUCUUAUGGAGAUCACUAGCCCGUAUAGAUUCGCUCAUAGUAGAAACUGUAUUAUGGCGCCAUGUGUAAGGAGUGCGGUCCUCCUUCAUUAUGUACUUACAGAUAGUAACCCAUGCCCUAUGGAAAGAGACAUGAAGCAGGGCUCCGUCGAACUCAGGGAAAAGCUUCCGAAAUGUUAUCGGGGCACUAAUCUUAUGUAGGCCUUGAUAAAGUAGAAUACCAACGUUCAAGUGGUGGCCAUGGACGCUGCCCUUGAGCUACAAUGAUACUGAUGCAUUGGGGAAUAGUUUCAGUUAUCCUACUUACGAUGACCGAGGCAGUGAUAGCAGACCUCUCUGGGGUGGCAUCGGCUCUGGAGAGUUUGAGUAGAAUAUAUUUCAUGUAGUUAUGAUGUAGCUUAGAAGGAACGGGAGGUUAGCUUGUAUUCAUGAUAUCGGAAAGAGAAAAUAGAAUGCCAAUGCCUAGAUGGCGGUAAAAGGGGCCAAAUAUACCGAAAAAGAAAAACGAAUAAUUGAUAACCAUUAAUGACUAGUGGAGGAGAUAUAGUAAUCCCUUCGGGUACUUAGCUACUGUUUGCUUAGCUCUGAUACAUACUAUUUCUCUACUCAAAAAUGAUAUCUGUGAUUAUUAUAAGAUGGAAUUUGAAAGUGAAAAGAGACUAGCAUAAGUUCCAGAAAGAAAUCCAGUGCUCUUCUCCGGUCUUAAGUAUAUACUUAUCUGGUUGUUCAUUAUACGUUACUUGUCUAUCCGUGUCUUGGUCACUGAUUUUGUGUCGAUAGCUAAUCCUACAUUUCCUGCCCCGAGUAAGGCUUCUAAUGAAUUUGAUGCCUAUAACACAGGAGUCAAAGAAUAAUGGUAAGCAAUGUGAGACUAAUAGAUAGGAAGCACGGCCUCACUAGUGAAAUACAGAAUGCAAAUCCGGAGUAUAAGCAUGAAAGUCAGUAGUGCCAGGCCAACUUGUGUGUUCAAUUCCUAGUGCAAAGUGUGUUCUGCCCUAUAGCCCCAGCAUAGUGAGUCGAAGAAUUGAAACAAGAUAUACGUAAUGCAACUAAGGAGUUAGGCUCAAACUGGGAGAAACAAUGGAAGGUCUGCUCUUCAUUCUCAUACGUAGAUAUUCUAAUAUAAGUCCCAUUCUUAUUCCGCGUCCGAUGCUCCCCUGUGUGUACUAUCAGUGAGUUUUCUUCCUGAGUUCUAUUGUUUGUGCACGACUCUAUUAAUUGAGACGCAUUUCCUUAUUGUAAGUAAAAGAGUGAGAAGCACUUUGACAAGCCUGUUUGCCGCUAGUCACAUUAUGAGAAGCACCAAUUCCACUCUUAUAGGUAGUAUGUUUCAGUUUAAGAGAAAGUAACGGUAGACCCAAUCCAAGAAGCAAGGAAGCAAGUCAUUUGUUUUAGAGUCAAAGACAGAGGAUAGUUAGAAUCCAGCUAAUAAGUCAAGUAAUGAACUAUAGUGCCUAGAAAACUAUAGCGAGAAAGUCAGAAUAAACCAAGCAAUACUGGAUAUCAGGCAUAGCUCUAAGACAUUAUGGAAAUAGUAAAUACAGAAUUGGACAGUGCUCCGCUAAUCCUUAAUCCUUCCUCGCAUUCUUAUUGUUAGUUAAAGAGUCAACUCCAACCAAGGGCGCAGCUGGAGCUAGAUUCAAUGAAUAAGAUGUAAGUGGCUUCCGAUCCGCUCCUUACGUAACCUAGCCAUUCCCUUACAGAGUUGGUUACUUAUAUUUCUAUUAUACAUGGCUACAGCCUCAUACUAGUGUAUGCUUGUAUACUUGCCUAGUAGCUUGCCUGGUCAAAAUCUCAUAAGCCUAUAGAAAACCCGGACAAGAGUGAAAAGAAGGAGUUAAGAAAGGAGUGAGAAUGAAAUACAGGAGUCCGGAGUGACAGAGCAAGAGGGUACAGAUGGGUAAGGGUAUAAAGAUGUUAGGCUAAAAUGAAAUAGAACAAGGGCUCGCUACCGCGUAAAUAGUAGUUAGUGUUGUGCGUCAGGCUCGUGUUACCCGCGGCGAAACAAGCAAGGUUGCAAAAAGACUCAAGGGAUCCUGCAGAAAGGGGAAGGAUAGGGGUGUAAUAGAAGAAGUAACUAAACCAAACCUAGUGCUACUUCUAGCAAAUCUAACAACUCAAAAGAAAACUCCCCAGAAGAAUAGGCUUUAGCAAAGUAGGAUAUAAGAAGGGAGCAGCUAACUAUGCGCUCUCCACUCUAAAGUCACAAUUGACCUCCAUCUCGGUAAACUAGUGCUGUAUACUCGCAAUAAGGAAUUUCAUAAGAGAACUGUAAGCAGGAAAUAAAGAAUAAAACGGAGAAGGUUCAGAAUCUAAAUAGAGAAUUAAUGCAAUAGGUAGGAAUAGCAGAAUAGCCGCCAAGCAAUGAAAUACGAGUUCCUGUGUUGCUUCGUCGACAACCCAGUCACUCACCAAACCCUGUAUUUUGUAGAGCGAAAGAGAGAGCUCCCAAAAACAGGACUUGGCCUAACAACUAGGCUUGUAGUCGAGUCGCCCCUUAUGCGUUGUUUAACCUAUGGUAAACUUCUCCAAUAAGGAAUCGUACAUUGAGAUACCCGAAAAGCUUUCAAAUGCAUUAAAGUCAAAGAACAUAGACUUCAUAACUAUACCAGCUCCUAAUACGGAUACAGAUGGAUCUUGAAUACUUAGAAAUCACAGAAUUCACUGACGUACCGAGUCCUAAUUUGUUGGGGUUAGUUAGCUCGGUUCUUUUCUUUGUCAGUUCAAUUAUCUUCUUAAAGCAAAGGAGCUCGCACCGCUAACGCUUACUCUUUGGCUCGGGGUUCCGUUCUUAAUGCAAGCAAUGCUGGUUGUUGACUUUCGUCUCUAAGUGGAUAGCCAUAUUCUUUUCUUUCUUCAGUCAUUGUACUUGUUCAAUUCUCUUCUUUUGACUUUCCGGGGGUAGCGCCUAUCCGUACUCUCUCUUUCUUUUGCACUCAAUGCUGUUUUGCCGAUAUGAUAGUUACUGAGCACUCGUGAGCACUGGCCCUACUGCCUAUAUUAGGGUAUAGCAAUCAACAAAAUCCAAAUCUUGCUUGCUUUAGGAGUUAGAGUUAAGGGUUUGUUAGUGAGCUCGGGUGUUUACUAGGUUGUUGUUAUAUACCAUGUCAGUGAUUGGAUUUGCUUUUGCUAUUAAGAGAGAGACUAUCUUUAUUCACUAUUCCGACUAGCCAAGACAAAGGAGACCCUGGAAUAAGGCCACACUGAGCGCUAAGGCUAACUGGAAGACCCAAUAGGAUAAAGCCUGAUGAAUACUUUUCAUCCACGCUAACCACCACAGGCACAAGAGAUGAUAGGCAAUAGUGCGGUUCUUCUUAGUAAGUGACUUUUGUAGCAUAGCAGUCCUUGCCGAUAAAGAAAAGAGUCGUAAGGCCGAUAAAUGGUAAAGGAUUGUAGUCUAGUCCUGUAUAUCAAAGCCAAGUUCAACUCUCACCCCCGAGUAGAAAGACAAAGAUAGGGGAAUCCAUAUCGCCCGGCCCGAGAAAAGGUAGUUUAAUAAAAGGUAGGUGGGAAAGUCGAAUCAUUUAGGUUUGAUAGUGUUUUUGUGGCGAGAUCAUUAUAAGUCUUUUCACUCUUCUUUCUCAGCCGGUGCUAGCUUUUAUGGUGGUCAGCUCUGAGGAAAGCCCCUUUCUUUCUUUAGGAGCGAAAGAGGAUAGAGGAGUUUCAGAAAACAAGAAGAAGCUAAGCUGCUAUUCUCUUGCAGGUCUGGUCUUGAGGGUAGGGCAGUAGGAGUCAAGGCAAUAGGAUCAAUCAAUCAGUACAAUAGGAUCAAUCAAUCAGUAUCAAGAAAGCUCUCUCUAUAAGCAUCGGUAAAGGCUUGAGUCUUGGGCUAGUUUCUUUGGGUGCGAGUGAUGUCGUUUCGUGGAGUUAUUGUGCUUGUUUCACUGACUUAGUAUAUAAGCAAGUCACUUGACACCUAUUCUUCUCGGGUUCGGGGCGCACAUGUCUUUCUUAUUGUGGCUUGUUCGGUUAAGUAGGCAGUAGCUCCUUAAGAGGCCAUCAGUGUUGUCGUAUCCAUUGGGUAUUUCGCCAUAUUGAGAACAGUUCUCGUUGGCUUAUGUUCCAAAUAGAGUAUCUAGUAGCUCUGAGUUAAGUAUAAAGUAAGGGCCGGGAAGGAAGGAAUCUAAGGUAAAGGAAGGAAUCUAAGGUAUUAGCUACUGGGCGUUGACGGGAAAGAAGGAAUCCCAAUCCCAGGUGAAAAGAAAGAGGAAGCCUGUUUGCCAGCUGCUAGAAUACCUCGCACUACCCUUCAUUCUUACUUGCUCCGGCAUCAAAGAUAUAUUCCUCUUAAACACCCGUACCCACAUCUUGAGUUUUAGCACCCGAACUCACUCUAUUCUAUCUUACUAAAUGUGCUAUUGCGGGAAGGAAUCAACUUCACUUCUUUAUUAACCCCGGGCAGCUUACUUACUUUAUACAACAGAACCACUAACUGCAUCCUUUCUUAGAGGAGCCAUAGGUAUAGGAGCAGGAUAAGAGGCAGAAGGAGAGGAGCCUAAUUCCGUUAAUAGUUGACUACGGUAGAGGAGCAAUAGUUCAAAGAAGAGACAGUUCUCGUUAUGGGUGCCCAGCCAGAAGGGGAGAGAGUUAUGAGCUUCAACUGUGUUCGGUGUUUAGUUUGUUCUCUGACUUUCGAUGUCUUCUCGUGUCCCGCUCCUUCCAAUCACUACAAGGGAAGGGUUUUGACAGCCCCGAGUCUAGAGAUGCAAUAAAUUCUUUCACUUAAGGUCGUUUCCGGUGCUUUUUGCCUAAUUCCAGUUACGUUCCCGUGUUGGUGCUGUAGUUCCUUGUCGAGAGAGGUGAUUGCCCUGUCCUGUCCGGGGUAGGAAGUAACGCAAAGGCCAGAAUCUGGAACUAAUAAUGUAUGAAAAUCUGGAACUACAUAAUGUAUUAAUUGGUUGCUAUGCACGAGUGCUGUGUUCGCCUGUCCGGGGAUUCGCGCCUAUGUGUUCAGUAGGGAACUAAGGGAUUCUAGCUUGGCACUUACUACGUUGCUUGGCUGUCUCUUUACUAAUCUUUAUACUAUAAUAAUCAAGAUGAGAAUUGGAAUCAAAGUGGGAAUAAAAGAAUCUAGUACCGGUUCGCAAGUAAGCAGCAACAAUCGAUUAUAAAAGUAGAAUGCCAGCGGCAGUAGCCCCAGUAAGGAACUAAAGUAGUUUACAGAGGUCUCGAUUCUAAGCCUGGAUUCCAGAUGGUACCACCUCGAAGUUACAGGGAUCUGCACUAUUGUCUUCUUCACUCUUGUCCCUCUGAUUUCUCUUAGCCUUGUUCAGGAAUGACUCUAACCGCUUAAUCCUUUUGAUGGGUAUUCGGUCAUGAAAGAAUCAUUUUUUGCACUUCAUCACAAUGACACAUGUGAUCUUGUUCCUAGAGACCAGGAGAUGCCUCUUCCUGCUUUGAAGUGGGUGUUCCAAGCUAAAGGCGGAUGAGUCGGUGGGAACUUAGCAAGACUAGUUGCAAAACAAAAGGCUACAACCAAAAGGAAGUGAUUUCGAUGAAACCUUGAGUACCCGACCCUCUUAUUAAGCCUAAAACCAACUAUUCCUUCUUGCGUUGGCUCUUAUGAACAAGUGGUCUGUAAGACAGCUAGAUGUCAAAAAGAUCUUUUCUGCAUUGUUAUCUUCCGUUAAGGAGAGAGUUUUCAUGGAGCAACCUACGAGCAACCAACACGGGUUUUGUAAGCACUGAUCAUCCGGAAAUAUGCCUGUGUUUUUAAGCCUUACUCAAUUCUUCUGUGAUCAGCAACUUGGAUUCGAAAAAGAAGGAAAGAACAAUAGAAGAGAAAGCGAAAGCUGGCCAAGCUAGAGAAAGCAAAGUCAAUAUGGCUAUUAUGAGCGUUUAACAUGCAUUCCAUUCCACUCCGCAAAUGGCUAAUCACCUCUGUAUGCUGUUCUAAUGCAUUUUGGCUUUAUAACAUGACCCGGUCUAAACCGCCUUUCUAGUUGUACAGGGGGUUCUUGACUCUGACUUCCCGGUCUAAACCGCCUUUCUAGUUGUACAGGGGGUUCUUGACUCUUACUUAUAUGCAUAUCGGCACCUAAAUAGAAGUCGUUUUGAUUUCCCAGUAGCUCCUUGCCUUGCCUUAACCGAUAAUGCGUGGAAGGAGUCGGAAUGCAGCUCGUUGCUUUGCUUCACUUCAAGCUGUUAGUAAUAUGUACGAAUGUAGUGUUCCGCAGAUAAGACAGGUACAGCAGAUGAGUACAGGUGUAAGAAAGAGGGAAAGGUUCGCUUCAAACCACUCCUUGACCUUGUUUCAAUUAAGAAUCAAUUCUAGUAGUUGCUAGUCGGGUUGAUUCGGCUGCUGCUGUAUAAGAGGAAACUAAACUCGUAGAAUUAGAUACGAGGGAGCGGUCUUCAACUCUUUCUCAAGUGUAGUAGGCCGUAGAGGAGGAUUCAGAUUAAAGGUUUUGUUCGUCCACCUGUUUUCGUUCCUUUCCCUUAGGAGUGAAGUUCCGUGUUCCAGUCGACCGAGAAGAUAAAAAGAAGGAAAGAACAAUGAGAGAAAGAAGAAGGUAUACUUCACUCUUCGUGCUAAACAUGUUCUGAUCCCAACAACCGGGUGUGGUGUCAGUGAUCAGUCCCGCUAGAAUGUAUUUCCUCCCUUUGUUUUAAGGAUUAGCAAUAACACUUGCACGCCAAAGUGGGAAAGUCAAAGAAAAGACGGGAAAGUCAAAGAAAAGACAUGAGAUCCAUUUCAUCAAACCCUUUAUGAAAAUACAAGACAAUUAAGUUAUUGGGCGAAGCACUUCUUCGACUGCCAUCCCAGUCAACGGAAAUGGGACUAACCGCUUCCGUGGGGAUUCCAGAUCAGAGAUUCUUUGCUCCGGAUCCAGACAUGCUUACCUAUGGGUGGCAGGUCCCUAUAUCCUAUCCAGAAGAUAGUCGAAAGAUAGAAUCAAAAGCCCUAUCUUUGAAUACCGGUGAGAGAGUAAGGGAGAGGCCCUCUUCCUGAAUAAAUAAGAAAGAGCCAUCUAUCUCGCCAGUCAAUAUAUGCUCUUAGCCAUCUUUACAAAAUGGAAGUGGAAGAUCAAAAGAAAAGCAAAGCUCCCUGACGCCCAGCAUGUUCCCAAACGACUCCAACUUCAAGGUUGGAUUAAGACUAAUCGGGUAUAGGUCCGCCCGAGACUCGUUUCCUUAGAAUGAGUAACUAAUACAAUAUUGCACAAGUAAUCUCCACAACAGGAUCCAGCAAUAAUGCAUGUGUCAGAAUAGCCUUUGAAUCCUUCUUAUCCGCCCCACACAAAGAGAAUAGAAUGCCAUAUUGCAAAGCUCAGACCCGAAACCAACCCUUUAUUGUAGAGCAUUGCCUUAACGUAAUCAGUUGAUCAACUCCACAGAGGCAUAAGAUUAUUGCUGAUUUCUGGGAUCCUUAUUGAUUGCUUGCUACGUGUCUUCAGAAGAUUGAUUAGACAACGGAACGAAAGCCAUUUCAUGCUUACUAGAGCCGCUCAUCUUUGAGCUAAAGAAUAUGAGUUAGGUCCAACACCGACCAAGACUAUAGUUGUCCCGAAACAAGAGAGGUUAAUUCAUUUCUUAUUGCACGAGUAGCGCUAUGCAACAAGGGACUAAUUGGGGGCAUUGAAGAAUGAUCGGCAAAUAGCACUCCUCACUCUAUUGUCAAUUCUUAAACAAACAGCUCACUCCUCUUACGAGCCAAUAGCAUAUCCUCUUACGAGCCACUCCUCUAUGAUGAACUAAGAAAUGAGAGUCUUAAAGAAAUGAGAGUAUUCUAUUAUGAGUCUUCUAUGUAAGUAUUACAGAAAUAUGAGUCUUCUAUGUAAGUAUUACAGAAAUGAGAGUAUAACUUCUAUUAUUAGUAUUAUCUUAUUAGAAAAAGCUAUUGAUGCCUGAAAAGGACUGAUGCUUCUAGUUGAUUUGAUGCCGGGUACUGAUCCCCAUAAAGAGAAUUCUAUCUUGAGAUGUACCGUCCGGGAUGGUGCGCGUAGGGAAGGUGAUGCAAGUUAAGGUGAUUGAUUGCUUUUCCAAAAGGCUCUGACAGAGGUGCAAGGGAUGUGGGAGGAUUUGCUAAUGCGCGCGCGUUGACUAUCGAUCGGUUCUAAUGCGUUGACUAUCGGUUCUAAUGCUUACUAUCGGGGGCUCUUAGAUAUGGUUCUCGAAUAGGAAGAGAGAGCGGGAGGGUACAGUCCCAUACAAGAGAAAUACAUAUUGAUGAUUUGGUAUUGAUAGGCUGGAGAGGAUUCGUUUGCCUCUGCUCCUGCAAGAAAGUAAUAAUAUAGAUAUCGAACGUAAGCUGGCCGCUGGUUAAUUCCCCUAAAGGUAUAAAGCUGAGGAUUAGUGUGUUCACUGGUUAUGGAGAAAGAAAAGAGCAGUGCUGGUGUUAACAAGAUAUUAUAUGGGACGGGCUCAACGGAUUAUGGGACAAGAACGGAGCUAACCUUGCUUGCUCCUGUCCAUGCAUUUGGAUUCGCACCUGGAAGUGGGACUGAAGCUCUGCCUCCCCCGCCUUGACUUGAACUUGGACUCCUAUUGCCCUUGUAGCGUUGGUGAAAUGGUAGCUUAUAGCUCUGCCCUUCCUUUUCCAAAACAACGAAAGAACCAAUUCAAUUAGCUCGUUAAGAAGAAAAUGAACUACCUAUAAGAAUGAAGCAAAGCAGUCAGGGACAGUGGGGGUAGUAGGUUAGGCGCAAACAUAGCCCAUUGAUCAAAAGAGCCCGAGGAUUAGCGGGCCUCUUCGUUGCGCAUGGAGUACAGCUUCAUAAGAUUCUCAAAUAAGGUCUUUCUUUCCCCUUUUGCCUACCUCGGCCGGUCCCGUACGAAUGCGUCUAACAUUGUUUCGCGUCUCAGUCUGCCUUCGUAUCAUAUGUAGUAUUAUAUGUAUCCGCAAUCAAGCUAUUUUCUCAUAACGCGGGGCGGUCGGUCAGUUGUCACUAUAUUUCCGAGAUAUAAACAGCACUACAGUAGGGUGCCAUAUUAACUCCAAUCUAGGAAGUAAGUUAAGACACCGGGUCAUAUAAAAAAGGAGGGGGGAAAUAAUCUGCCUUCCUUCGCCACUUAUCUUUACUCAUACUUAUAGUUCAUGCUUUAGCUUAAAGCGUAAGAGGAUGGAUGUGAGUCGAUAAGUUUUUCACUAGAUUCCAUGUAUUCUAUAAUGCUAUAUAUGGUGUCUUGGCCAAUCUACUAUCUCGAGCUGUUAUAGGUUUUUUCUUGAUAGUUAGUAAUUUCCUGUCUACUUCUUAAUUCAUUGGACGAGAGAGAACAGUGUGCUCGACUGUGGUUGUGGAGUAGUGGGUCUAAGCAUUAAAGUUCAGUGUCGGCAUAAGCAGUUUCAAGAGAGAGUUCAGCAAAAGCAAAAGAUAAGGGAAGAGUUUAUUUACUUAGAUCUAUAUCGGGUGCAAAAGAUAUUCCAUUUCAUGAUUCAUACGACAAGGCCUAGCCGGAUUCCGUGGCUAAAAGAGUGACACUCAACUGGUUCUCUCGGUUGGUUAGGCAAGGGAGACUGUGACUAGUGCUUCUAAUAUUCGAACUAAAAACGGGUGACCAAACUACUGAAAACAACCUUCCAUUUGACUCUUCAACUAUGAACUAAAAGAACCGAAUCCUCCCCACUGCAACUAGGCCUCACUGCCCUUACUCUAAUUCUAUCACUGCUGAUCCGGCCAAUGAUAACUAGAAUUGAGCAAAGGCAUAUGAUACUGUCCUCCCGGGGUAAUAAUAGAACCCCUUAGAAUAAGGAAUAAGGGUUGCAGGGUGUAGAACCAAACAGUAUUAGUAUCAUUCGGGUACGAUGUAGCACAUACCAAUAAAGAACUUCAGUAAUGUCAAUCAGAAUCAAACAAGCAACUAGGGCUUCACUACCGGGGGGUUAUCUUACUCUUACUGUCUAUGCGCCUCACGCUACUGCCUUUCAUCCUAUAAAUAACGUAUAGCUCUAAGACUAGUUGAUUUCCUAUUUCUUAGUGAAAGUAGCAUUGAUGCCAUUUCUAUUCCGUUUUCAAGUCAGAGUAAGAAGAGGGUUGACUCCCUAAGCCGAACAGCAGCUACAAAAACCCCUUUCUUUGUACUAGAAAGGUACGACUCAUAAGGGGUGAAAGCGAAUCCAAAAUAGAAGGGUCGAAACAAGGUUAGAUAGCGUGCCAGCUGCAACGAGGGUAUUGUCGUAUAUAGAAAUAGGAAGCUAUUGUCCUAGAUAGAACUUUGCUGGGAGAAAGCCUUCGAAAGGAUGUAGAAAUACCAGCUCAGAAGGAAGGAAGAUGGCUCAUAUGAACAAUCCUAUGGAAGGGAAGCCGAAGAAGUCCAAUUUCUUAAUGUAUUAUAAACACUCUCCAGAGCGGAUGCAACCAAGGAGAGAGCUGCCAUCAGCAGAGAAGAAAUCGCGAGAAGGAUUGCGGAGCUCCUAGUGUGUGCAAGCAUCGUAGUUACUUGGCCGGGAUGAAACUCUCAAUCAACUCUCACUCUCACUCUCAAACACCGGGUUAAAGAGACUCUAAACCAGAAACGAGUCCUGUUAUCGGGGCGGAAAGUGUUGUUUGAAAGGAAGGCCAUAAUCCAGGUUUGGAAGCAGUACUUGAGUUUCAAGAUAAAGAGAGGUGCAGCAAGCCGGAGUAGGAGAUCCUAAAAGUAUCCUUACGUCAAUUCUAUACCUAGUGCAAUAGAAUAUAAACUUUUUGGAAUUGAAAACAGAACACAUGAGAUGAGUUUAGUGCGAAGAAAGGAGUAGAGAGCAAAAGAAGGAGUAGGUGAAAACGGAACUCCCUCUGAACUUCAUAUAAUGCAUAUUGUCCUUAUCGCCGUAGCUUGUUUAAUUGAAUCGCAACUUAACGAGAUACUUGACUUUAGACUUCACUUCUAGCAAGCAGGGUAGCCGCGAUUGACUUCUUGUGCUUGCUUGAGCGGGUCAGGUGCUAACGUUCAUUCAUCAAUUCCUUAAUGGUUUAGUUGACACUGUCCCUAACACUUGAAUUCAAUUGAGACUCCCUUAUCCCUGCACCGACAUAAGAAUCUUAAUCUCUCUCUCUCUCUACUAUAACACAAGUCCUUUCUCCGUAGAGUUAUUACCUAACAAGUCACUACUUUAGUUGCUGGGCGGAAAGGGAAACCUGUCAAUCAGGCUCCACAAGGAAAGGGAAACCAGUCCUGUCAAUCAGGCAAAGGUCAAGCAAGCCUAUUACAGAAGCACUAACAAAGGGAAACCAGUCAAGCAGCCAAUAAGCAAGGAAAGGGAAACCUGUCAAUAAACAAAGAAAGUGGAGGUUGGCUAAAUGGAAUUAGUGGAAUUGGUAUCGCGGAACUUCCGGAGUUAAGAUCUUAAAUAGAAUGUCUUGAUCUAUGGCCACUAUAGAACUACCCGCUUCGGUGAGCGGCGAAUUAGUGAGCUGUCUGAGAGAUUGGAGAACCAUAAUUCUCCUUCCGGGUACGGACGCCUGAUUGACUUCUAUUCAAUAAGUCAGUUUUGAGCAAUUGAGGCACGCACAGAACUAGCCAGAAACCUAUUGCAAGAGAUUAAUUAUAACACAUGAUAUUAAUAAGUAAGAUGCACUUUAUUAAGAUCUUUCUUAUUCUCCAAAAUCAGGGGCAAGGCGAUUGAUCGAGAAAGCUCUCUUGUGAUUAUUAGAAUGGAAUAGAGUGAUUUUCUCCGCAUAUGGUUGGUAAAAAGAAGAAGAUUCCACCUCCCCUAUUGAUCAGAAAUCAGAAGUUAUGCUGUAGUACUUGCCUUUGUCGUGAACUAAUGAAAAAACACCGGGCCGCGGAAGAGCAUUCCCUGUUGAGAGUCUCGAGUGAAAUAAUAAGUACCAAAGUAAUGUCAUUCUAAAUAGAGAAUAUCUAUCCCUUUUCGCCCAAGAUCGAUCAUUACUAUUAUUCUGUAACUCUAAGAAAGAGGUAAUUCAAAUCAUAUGAUUGACAUCUAAGAGAAUCACACGAAUUCUUUCUAUCGAUGGAUUAGCUUUGGAACUGAUGCGAAUGAAAGCGCAGAAGGUUUUGUCUGUUCCGAGAGACAACACUGCUACAGGAUUUGAUACUGCAUGAUCUUAUACUUAUGGAACAAUACUGGAAAUCUCGAACUACACUUUAGUACACAUACCUUGCUUCAAAACCAGCCACAUAAGAGGAGUUGACCCUGGCCUGGCUAAGAGGAUUUAGGGUGCGCGCGAAGUACCAUAGUUUAUUGAUGGGCAUGCGCUUUAUUCUUCCUUGUAUACGAGUUCGGUGAGAGACAGCAUCCAACUCCUUCUGCUCUGGAAGUGUAUUUUUGCCUCAUUUGCUAUGGUUCAUGAAGUCCUCUAUGAAAGCUUUCUUAAUCAGAAUCUAUCUAAACUAAAGCUUUAUUAAUAAGAAUCUAUCUGCUCUACACGAAUUCCUAUCGUCAGCUGCUUUUUCUUUCUCAUAGGCUAAAGUAACUUAGAGCAUCAAGGAGAAGUGAGAAAUCUGACAAACCAUUAUCUCCUUCGCAAAGCAAGGAAAGCCUAAAACUACUGUAACGUCCUUCUUCAUGUGCACGUGGAUAUCCUGACUCUUUCUCUGACUAAUGUGCCAUUUGAUCUCGGGAUGGCCUAAAUGGCUUUUUCCUGUUAUACCUCCCCGGUUCCUCAGAUUCGGAUUAGUGCAAAUAGCCUCCGCAUCAAUAGGGAAGUGCUCACCAUGCUAAGCCCGUUUACGCUGCAAAGUCAUUUUACUGAAGACUCUACUAUCUUCAUGCCAAAGAAUCUUUUUUCCACUUCUUCUCAAACCAAACAAGAAAAGCAUAUUCUUGCGGGGAUUCUCGAACAGUAAGAGCGUCGACUGAUGCAUCUAUACUAUUGAGAGAAAGAGAAGAUUGGACUUGUUUGACACUUCGGCGGGUCCUACUACUAUAAGGCUUAUCUACUCCUGGAGGCAAGGGGCCAAGCAACGAGACAAGUGAACUUAGCAACUACUUCUCUAUUUACUACUUGCUGAACACAUGGGUUUGACUACUCCCUUAGCACAGAGGAUUUGUUACUACAGAGUUGUGCCUAAACCCUAACUAUAAGUACAGAGUUGUGCCUAAUAGGGGUGCAGCGUAUGGGUCCCUAAAGGAAGCAGUGUCAACCACUAUAUCUCUCAGUUUCAGCCACUAUAUCUCUCAGUUUCAGCCUGGAAUUUGGGUCUCGCAAUUCUUCUCUUUUUAUGGGAAAGAGAGGGUCUCGCAAUUCUUCUCUUUGAUUUGAUGGGGCUGAUUGGUAAUAGCAACAACUGGCACAUUCCUUUUCUUCGUUCAAAUUCUUCCAUACUUACAUAAUAGAAUACAAUCUGCACUGUUGCCCCCAUCGAGUACUCUCUUUAGGGUGUAGUUAGCAGCAGCGAUAUCUUAUUUGGAGUUAUUUUCCCCUAGUCCACCUCUCUUUGCCUCGAACCUAGCCUUACUGCCUUUGAGUUUGACCUUACUUGUUUGAAACCUUGAGCUAGCGCUACCGAGACCUACUUCCCUGCCCAUUAUUCUGACUCUGACUUUAUUUAAAGCUAUAUUUUACCUAUUAGGCUGACUCUUCUUUCUAUCAAACUUAUACUAGCACCUCGAAUACUCCAACUAACAACAGCGAAUCCCCAGCGGUACCCUCGCAUACUUGAAAUAGAAAUAGGGAAACCAGCUACCACUUAUGAAACUGACUCAGCGAACCAAACCUUACUCGCUAGCCCACCGCUACUGGCUUUAAAGCUGACUUGACUUGUUUACAAACUGGUCUAAUGCCAACAAGGCUUGCUCUCAUAGCGGGGAAUCCAACAUAGCCCACAGAAGAAAGGGAAUCCGAACCCGAGUAGUGACACUCAAUAGUAUAGAGAAGAGAGGACCUACUAAACAAAGAAGCUAGCCUGCCUAUCCUUAUGAAAAGUAUACCGAUCGGGGGGAAUCUAACUGCUAAGCCUAAGGAUGGAAAGUUUGAAUUGAACUCACAAGUAGGAAAGUAGGAAAGUCAGAAUCAAACCCGAAAGUAGUGUCCCGUCCGAAAGAAUUGAACAAGUAAGUGACUGACGCGUAACUCACUCCCUUAACAGACUAGUAUCGGUAGGCUAUCCUGGCAUUCAACUAGUAUCGGUAGGCUAUCCUGGCAUUCAAAAGCUUACUGUUUUAUGGCUGAUGAUCCUUUAUGAUAGGGUUCGAACUCAACUCUAUUCUGUAAUUCCUCCAUGGAAUCCUGCCCGCCGCGCCUGCUCCGAGAUACUUUCCAAGCACAGCUAAUUAUUUAACCAAAGCCAAUAUGACUUGCACGCUUGCUUGGGACUUGUAGAUUAGAGUCCAGCCCAAGUUCCUGCUCGAGUGUGAGUUUGACCCCGGCUUUUUAGUGUAGUUGAGUGCGCCAACCAAUACUUACUGGGGAAAUUCCUUCUCAAGAACCGCUCUUGCCUCUAGUAUUGUUGCCAGAGAAGAUGUGGAUCAGCAGAUGGUAUUGCAAUAAGGCAAGCUUCUACCGCCAGACAAGUAAUAGCGUUGAAUUGAAGAAUAGAAUGUGGAAUUUCCCUUACUGGCCUAUUACUUAUGAAUUGAGUAGCUCAUUAAUGCACUGACUCUUGCCCGAACUACACCUUUCCCACUUGUUCCUUCUCUUUCUUCCACCGAUGAUCCUGAUCUGUAAACUAAGACUGGAAAUGGAACUAUUAACUCUAUACCGUUAGCUCACUUCAUAUUAUCAAAGAGACUUAACUCGAACUGGCGUUAGCUGCAAGUAUGGAGUUCCAGGAUUGCUCACAGUAUAAAGAAGGAGACAGGUUGACUCACAGAUAGACUUUCCCAAAAUCUUUCUCCCGGUACGACAUCUAGGGGAAAUGGAUACUAGUCUGGUCAGGACCAAGAGCAACUCGACUCAAAGGAGAGCUCAAUUACAUCGAUCGACCCUUAUUCUCCUCUCAGUCCACUAGCAAUACACCAGUAAGUAAGUACAGUACGGAUGCUUUGAAUAGCCCUACAAGUCUUAUCUUAGAGCUAGGUAAUGCUAACAACAAUAGAAAAUACUCUCAUCUCAAGUAAUAGCGAAGCCCUAUUCUGCGGAGUUUCCUUUGACACGUAAUAAUAGACAUAAGAUAGAGGGAGAGAUCGAGAUUACAUCCCACCAGGACGAGGUGUUACUAAUUCCCUUGUUUUCAAACCAAUAGGAUAGGGUAAUAAGGAAAAUAGCUCGGUCGGUAUCAUGAGCUCGUCUGUCUAUCUUUUAUAUCAUUAUUGUUGCUAAUGAAGUUAGGGCUUUUGCUAGCUAUUAUAUGAGAAAACGAAAAACCUAUUACUGCGGCGGCGUAGCGAAGCUAUCGGAAGUACUUUCAUAAGCAUCUCUGUCGCUCAAUAGCAAGCCUUCGUUACUACUAUUUAUUGGGGGAACUUCUGCAUAUAAAGAUGCCUCUAUCAAUUCAUUUCAUUUGUUCAUGUUGGGCACUAAGUUAGCAUGAAUGGCUAAAGAGCUCAAUGAAACUUUCCGAUAUGGUCUCGUAAUCAGAGGGCGUCUUCCGAUGCAAGGGAAUGCUAUCUAUCAGACAAUGGAUAGUAUAAUCUCCGAUAGGCAAGUUCGCUUGUCCCUCUCCAGGGGAUCCAUGAUAUAGCAGUCAGCUUUACGAUCCUAGGUAGGACUCACACUUUCUUUUCACAACCACUUGUGUUUUUUCUCUUAUGAGGUAAAUAACCCAUCUGGCUUGUCAAAGAAGCAAACAAUCCUAGCUAUAUCUGUUGCCGCCUUUUCGUGUGGUGAAAUGACUGUCCUUUCUUUUAUUAACACUGACUCGAUUCAAACAAGCUUUUCUUUUUUCAAUGGGAAUCUCUUGCUUUCACUCGCGAAAAAGAAAAUGGCCUGCAAUCCACAUGGAACUACACUACAACUGGAUGGAAAAGGGAUGCCAGAAAAGAGACAAUCUCACUUGUAAAUAAAAGGCGAAAAAGCUGGCUUUAUCACGUGCUUGCUACUAGCUCGGCUGACCCAUUCUAAUGAAUUGAAAACAAAAAGAGAAAGAUUAACGAGCUCCGGGUUACACAAGUAAAAAAGGAGAUUAGGACUUUCUGACUUAAGAGUUAGAGAUUAGAUUACCAAUAGAGAAAGAACUAGGUAGAUACCAAUAGAGCUCCCAUGACCGAUAACUGAAAAUAGUAUAAGACAUGAAACUGUACUAAUAGUUGAAAAUAGUAUAAGACAUGAAACUGUACUAAUAGUGAGAUUACUGGAAUUGCUACACACAAGCAACCGACCCGCACUCUCCUCUCCCUGGCGCUACUGAGUCAAACAAGAAACCUUGACUUCCCUCUAGGUAGUAAACGUGGUGCUGUGCUUUCUUGCUGCCUUUGUCUAGGGUUGUAUGGUGCUGUGCUCUUCCUUGCUGCCUUUGUCUAGGGUUGUACACCUUCUGAUUCUUGACUUGCUGAAUGAGGCAACUAUACAUACCUCUGGCAACAGCCAAGCGUAUACUAAUGUUGCGCGGAGGAAGUCGGGGGAGCAAUUACAUGUAGUUUGAUACCCUGUAGUGUUAGUCAGCUUCUACGGGGUGCGUUAGUUAAGUGAGUUCCUGUCUUCAUUGGCUAACUAUAGUAUUGAAGCAAUGCUCCGUGUUGUUAAUCUCUUCUAUGUGUGCUGCAACUACUUCAUUCUUUUAUUGUCCUGUUGCUUGGCGGCUUGGCUGGCGCUAUGUGCUCGUGGAAAGACGUAUAGGAUCAAGAGUUCAAAGAGACUGGACUGUUCGAGUAUGACCAAGUCCUGUGUUGGGGGAACCCAAUAAAUACAUUGCUCGAUGCUUGGCUUUCCGUACGAGAUGGAUUCUUGGCAUAGGGAGCUGGUAACCAGACAGCUUUCUUUUUCUUCGGAUCUUGUGGUUGAUCGUGAAAUUCUCCAUUAUGUAUUUCGAGUGGAAUUCGCGCUUAAACCCUAAACAUACCUUUCUUAUGGAAAUUAUUACUGAAUGGAAAGGACUGUUUUCGCCGAGUUGCAUUCCGCUCUUGGAAUGGAAUUCUUUGUUGGCCUGGUGCACGCUAAUUAGAAGAGAAGGUAUACCCCUAAGAAGGAAGUAAAGCACCUAUUACAGCUGGCUCUGCUCCAUCAGUUGACUCUAAUGCUCCAUCCUGGCACUCUUAUCCUAAUUAUGAGACGAAUCUAGCCCAUGACCCAAAUCUGGAAACUAGAACGUAACUUUCAACUCGUAACUCCGUUAGCGCAGAAGAUCUUAGAACUCCCUCCUUACGUGCCGAGUCAAUAAAGACAGAUGAAACUAAGGAUUACUUUAGCUACGAACCUAGACUUUAUUAUAUAAUGACUUUGAAACUCACUCCUACUGUUCAAUCCGGUGUGAAAGCCAACAACUACGAUGGGAGAUAUGAGUGAAACUAGUAGAUGUAUUGGAUUUGAGCGCCGUGCCGCUUACGCUCAUACAAAGUCAAAGUAGUAGAGUGGAGGUGAAAGAAUAGGAGUAUACUAAAUACGAAGAGGCUCAAGCUGGAUCUGGGGAAGAAUCGGUAUAAAUAGAAUCCUACAAUAACCUCUCUCGACAAGGAGCUAGAGCACCGAACAAGCUAUAGUGGGGAGUUCUUAUAAGUUCAAUAUUCUUGUUUGCGAGAAAAGUCAGAAUCAUCCAAGUAAGUAUAGGACUACAAAUUGAUGAGUAUUUCGAAAACAACUCUAAACUAAGGUUGACUCAGGGCUAAAGGAAAGGGAGGCGUUAACGCGAGUUCUCUCACUUACUGCCCGGUCCAACUCUAUCACUUACUGCCUCGACGUAAUAAAUAGAGAUUCCAUUCCAGUUUUCUCGGGGUUAAUUACUUGUUUUCCUUUUCUCGGGGUAUAGACCCACGUAGCUGUAAUAAUCAUAAUUGGAUUUAUCUGCGUUAACGAGAGCAAGAGGCGCGAGGCAAGGAGAGAGAUUCAAUGGGGUGUGGCCAAAAAACCACUGGAUUUACUCUGGGUAACUAACUAACGUGAGCGGAUUAAUCACUUGCACUCAAUUCUUUGUCAGUUCAAUACAAAAUCAAAGGGAAUCAGGUAUCUUUACAUAAGAUUCUCCACGUUGGCUCUUUCUUAUCUGGAUUCCAUUCUGUUAUGCGGGAAAGUCACCUAAGCGAAAAUAGUCAAUUAACUAACGAAACUCCAAAGCUAAGAUUAGAACCUGAAAACUCACCCCAAUUACGUUAACCCCGAAACUGCAGCUGUAACUCGCUUUCGCGCACUAGUACCAUCUGAUGCUUCUUUCUCUUGCUCCCUUCUUUCAAAACGGAUUAAUCUCCUUCUUUUUCUCUGGAAACUGACUCUAUACUUUUAUCUGGAACUCGUAUUGAAACUUCCCUGACCGCUUUACCUUAUCUCUCUUAUUCUCUCACAGACAAAGCUCGAACUGGAAAUCAACCUACUUCAUUACGCCGUCGAGUAAGGUACUUCAGUACGCCGUCUAGGAAGGGUGGGCUUGUCUUGUGUUUAGCAAUGCUAGUUUAGAUGGAAGUUCUUUCUUAAAGGUAUACAUCUAGUACAUUGGGUAGUCAAUUCCAUUGUUAUAGUCAAAGUAAGUAAACUCUAUUCUUAAAGGAAAGAUCACGCCGGGUUGGCUUAAAUAUAAGAUCACUCGGGUUGGGCAAGGUCGAAGAGAAAGGCCUAAUUAAGUAGCCAAAGUCGACAACUGAAGAAUCCGCCAAAGAUGGAGCAGGUGAGUAAAAGUAUCCAGUUCCAGAAGCAUAUAUAUAAGUGGCACCCCCUUAUAUACAAGUUUCAACAACUCUUAUGGCAAAUUACUCAUUUACCUUUCCGUUAGUGCCGAGGAAAACGGAUUAGCUAUAAGCUCUGGUUCAUCUAGGUUAAACAACGAGAAAAGAAAGAUUAAGUGACAGCCAACACCGAGUGGAGUAGUUUGUUUCAUUAUAUAAGCGGGAGGACGUUGCGAGUCUAGCCCAAACUCCGUUUCAAGAUCAAAAUAUAGAUCAGAUGUCUGAGAUAGUACUAGCUUUGAUACAGAACCGAAGAAGAGAAGUAUAAGAAGCCUGAUUAGUAUCAGCUGUUACUGAGGCCUGUGUUCAUAGCCAUAGUCCAAAAUGCAAUUCCAUUCUUAUGUCCCAAGUCCAAGUAAGGGAGGCUAAAGUGGUAUAUGCUUGUCAGCUGCUGACUUAGCGUUUGCUGGUUCUUUUGCCGAUCUCUGAUACUUAGCUCGCCUUAGAAACAAGCACUUAAACCUAUGAUUCUAUCGUAGACAACACUAAAAGCCCUUUUUCUUCAGUCUGAAGUUUGGCCUUCCGCUUUAUCCUUUUUUUGUUUAGUUCUGGUUUGUGGAGUGAUUGUUUCAUCAUAUAAAGAAGAUAUCCUUUUUGAUGCUUAGGAAGGUGGUCAGCUGCUGUGAUAGUUUAGUUCGUGGCAGAAGAAAGUACUGGUUAAGGGUAUACGAGUGAGAGUGUUUUAAGUCUAGAAUCCAAGUUUGAUUGUAAUAAGAGUAAGAGAAAGAAGACUGUCCUGGUAGACUCUAAGCUAAAGGAGUUACUGCCUCGGCGCAAGAAGACUUACCAGACUAAUAAUGAACUUCAGACUCACAUAAGUAUUACCAGGCCCAACAAAAACGCCCGCAAGGAAAGAUAAGAAUCAGAUAAUCAUAAGGGUUGUAUGUAUUAAGAAUCUUAUAAUAAGGGUCUAUUGUAUAGAUCCACGGAGUGGUAAUUAGAGAUAGAUGAGUAAGAGGCUAAGGCUAUAGUAGGGUCAGCGGUAAGCAGUUAGAGAAUCCUAGUCAGCUGUGCCAGUUCAAGUUCUAGGAUCAUCAGCUGUAAACGGUCCUGUGAGAGUGCACUAAUAGGUAUGAGUUAAAGAAUAGAACGGCGUAGCCAGAGGAGAGGAACUCUUGAUUUGUUUACAGAGCCAGAGGUCGCAUAGAAGUUCUCCGAGAUGAGCCUGAGUUAGCUGAGCCGGGAGUUCUUGUUUCAAGUAAGAGAGAGACAACCUCAGAAGUAGGAAUGACAGAAUUAGUUUACAGAGCUAGAGGUGAAGUCGAACCAUCAAGAUGUUAGGAAGAAAUGCACUUAUACCACCGAUACGUCUAUUUCAUAGGUCCAUUUCCCAUCCAACUACUGAACUUAUGUUUUAGUUCCUUUUAUGGCCGACAAGUCACUACUACAAAACCAUAGCAAUGAAUAAAUGUAUUAUAACUCGUUAUGAGCAAGUCCUAAUUAAUAGCGUCAGGCGCGGGGCUUGCCUGUCCUGUGCACUUAAAUAAUGGGGGUAAUAUGAGUUCCAUUAGAACUUUAACCACUGAGUUGCCCUAGAUGCUGUCCUAGUAACUUCAUAACGAGUAACUCACUUCAUAACUAGUAACUUCCUUCCGAGCCUAGUAACUUCAUUGAACAACUACCCUCAAACUACCCGAGUAAGUAAACAAAACACACUACCCCGAGCCUAGUCACUUCAUGAAACAAUCAAUACAGAAUACAGCUGGAAACUACUCACUUAACUUAAUUCGGCUCCUAUAACUUCAUUCUUAAUAAACCACAUAGCAAGUAGUCAACUGGUUCUCUUGCCCUACUCAAUUCUUUUCUCUUGGUCCCACUGAUUGGUAGUCCUUUCCUUGAUACUUUAACCCUAGCAUAAGAAGUAGGAGCUCACACUGCUUAUUCUGAUUCUCGAGUCUACUUAGCUCUAACUGUAGCUUCAGAUACUGAAACUUUCUUUGGGUGCUUCCUUUGCUAUAAGUGCUGAAACUUCAUAAUGUGAGUUCCCCUCCACGCCUAGCUUACUAUUACUGGCCUGUAUGCCCUAAGUUCAUGAGUGAAAUCUAUUACUGGGCCCUAAGUGAAUGAGUGAAAUGCAUGUUUGUUGUCGACUCUAAAUCUGGUGUUACAAAAGAAGCAAGAGAAGGAGUUAUAGGUCAAACGACAGAACAAGCAAGUGCGCUAGUUAUUGAGUUGAAUCGUCAAAAGAAUAAGGAGAAGUUUCAAGAGAAAAUGCUUGAUCAAGAUCUUAAUAAGGGUUUUAGGCUUUCAUACCAUCUUUCCUGAAGUGUAUUGAGUACUUUUGAGUCCUUUCGGUAGAUAGGAUUAAGAAAGUAGUGGUCUUGCUCUAGUUCUCAGAUCUUCAGCGGGAAGUGGAAGUAGCAGCCCUGCCGCUCCAAUGUAUCCGUGUUUUUAAUGAGAUGGACCAUCUAACUACAGACUAACUACAGAAGUUGUGAAAUAGUUGAUUGACGCCUAUUCACUUGAAACCCUAGCUAAUACGGAGCAAGAAUUGACCUAUCUCUUGCAAACCUCCAUUUGAAUGAAAACAGUGUGCUAAAGUUGUUACCGAGUCCGCCAAGCUACCCCUUAUAGUACUGCAGAAUGGAUGUUAGAGGUUAGGGAGCCAUAGUCUUGCUUAUGUUAUGCUACAGAUCCACCUAUUCCUAUUUAUCCCAGUGAAUAAACAUAAUCAUUUGCCAUAGUCGAGGUAUACCGAAUGAAGGAGCAAAUAGUUAAGUGGCACUAGCGUCAGUAAGUUAGAAGAAUGGAAUGGAAUUGCAGCGGUUUCCAGAUCAUCAACAAGUAUAGUAAGGGCGCCCGGAUCUUAAACAAAAGUAAGUAAGUAGAUGUAUCCUUAACGGAGGUAGGGAAUUACUAUAACCACUAUUCAGCAUUCCAGUAGUUAAUGUCAGAAUGAAACUAAGCUGCAGGCAACUCUGAUAUUAGAAUGAAACCACUACUCACUGGUCUUCAACUCGCUCGUCCAAGAAUUCCACUCAUAUUACUAAUUCUUACCUUGCCCCCCGAUUGCCCGCAUCUAGGUACUCAAAGUACUCUGGUCUAGGGUGACUGUUUCUGAUCCUAACUAUGAAAAUACUGCAACAAGCAACUCGCCAACACUAGAAACUCUCUCGUACGACUUCAGGUCAAUAAAAGCACUAUCCUUUCCUUUAGCACUUGGUAACUUGGUAUAUAUAAUAUAGUAAAGACGUAGGUAGCUUCCAAGAAUAUAGAGCUGGAUCAGAUGAGUAAGCUGUGAGAGUGGAAUACAGAGUUGAAGUUCUGUAAGUGUAAUCCUAUAAUAAGAUCAUAGAUAAGAAAUAGCCUACUAAAGUCAGAGGGAAUGCAACUCAUAAGUCAGAAUUUACCUAUAGUUUCGGACUUAUUCAGCGUUAUAGGUAUAUUAGAAAGUCAGGGGGGUAUAUCAAGUCUGGGGUGGGGCAUACUAUCUUACGAGCGAGGUGUCCUGAACAAGACUCAUUAGCUGAAGGGAUGUAAUAGAAUCCGUAACUUACCCUAAACUCUGAAGUUCGAAUUGAGAAUUGUCCCCUUGUGAACGAACACAGCACUCUAUGAGCUUCUCCCCCUUUGCUUCAAAACUUCUGACUGCUGGCUCUGGCUCUGCUUCCUCGCCUCUUGCUCCUCUCCUUACACUCGCUUCUUGCUCCUCUCCUUACAGGCAUGCUUAGCGGGGGAGUUUUUAGUACGAGUCAAAGAAUGCAACUAAUAAAAGUAAGGUGGAGUUCGGCUAUAAGUAAGGUAUAGUUCGGUGCUCUAUAGUUUCAUCCCGAGUUUCAUCAGUUCUCCUAUAUGAAGUUCCAGUGGGUUUCCCAUACUUAGUUGGUAUAUGAGAAAUUGCACUUCUUUUUCUUUGAUUGUUUGAUGGUUUCUUUAGACCGGAUCUUUCUUCUUCUCUUGCUAAUCUAACUCAAUAAACUGCCGCUACACACGAACACAGGACUUGUUUAUAACUUGUAAUAUCUAUUAUUGCUGCUGCCGCGCAGCUUUAAACUCGCUGCCGCGACACCGAACACAGGACUUGUUUCUAACUACGCUAUAACUACUUAUUUGUCCUACUGCCGCACAACGGCUUGCGCCGUUGCUUGUCUAUCCGUGUCUUGGCGCGCCGUUGCUUGGCCCUUGGCCUUUUCUCCUACUAUAUUAUAUAUUAUCUUUAUUAAGGAAAUAGGAUUCCACAGCUAAUCUCUCUCCUAUGUCUACUAAUACUGUUAGGGCUCAUCUAACUUACUAAUACAAUUAUUGCUCAUCUAACUCUGUCCUUGCCGAGAUACCCGCUUGCAGCCUCUCCUUACUUACCUAGCUCUAGCUGAAGCCUGUUCUUUGUCUCUUGGUGCCAUGCCUAGGUCUCGUCUCCACUGUCAUUCCUUAGCCACAGUCCAUAUGGUCAACUCAUGUAAGCCAACUAUCAGCCAUACAACAAUCUGCGCAAGAGCACAAGUAAUCAAGUGAAAAGAAAAGGACUAGGAACAAUAAGUAUAGUUCCAUAAGCGGAAUCUUCAGUUACAUCGAGGAAGCAUCUCCUGGGAAAGAUUGGAUUGGCAUUCAACUAAACUGCUUUUCCGGGUCCGGAAGGGAAAGGUUUGUUCCCAGCUAUACAUAAAGGGAAUUGAUUGGUCUUGAAGAGUGGAAAUCUCCGAUGGAAGCCAAGCCUCUCCUGGGCGGGCCUAGCCCUCUCUCUAUAUCGCCCCGGAUGGAAUGUGAAUGGGAUUCUGCCUGAAACGAAUCAAAUCAAUAGGAAUGAAUAUUAGUUGUAGAUUGAAAGGAAUGAAUAACCGUUUGUGAGAUUGAAAGGAAUGAAUAUUAGUUGUAGAUUGAAUCAACAUCAAUAGACCCCCCGUCCCGUGAAAGCUUUUCUAGGAAUGGAUUUAGUGAUCUAGCCUGUGCUCGCAUUGUGUAGAGGAGUCUAUCUCUUAUCGGGAAAGCACUUUUUGUUAGGUUCUUUCUUUUUACCGAGUAUAUAAUAAGAAGAGACGGUCUUGAACUAAACUCAAACUUCACUCGGACCAGGUUGACUUGCUCAUAAUAUAGUAAUAGAACUAAACUAGUAGACUUACCUAAACUCUGAUAUCCUAGACCUCUGGCUCAUCUAAACUAGCUGGUAGUAGUGGCGUGUCCCCUUGCCGACCUAGACCUUACUUUAGAACCUGGACUACCCGGUGGAAUUCUCACUAGCACUAGCACCCGACCCUAACUCGUAUACAAGGGGAAAGCUCGACCCUAACUCUCCUCUGGCAACUAGCUAAUCUCUAUCCCAACAUAAAUCUAGGGGCAACUCGGGAUUACUUGAUCACUGCCUCUCCUAUGAUCCUGAUACUGGAAAUUCUCUACUCCAAGCAUGGUCUCGAACCUACUUCUUCUCUUACCUAGGGCAACAAUACCUCUGCCUCUGACUCAGCCUUAGCUAAUAAUUGAAUGCUUGGACUAGACCACUCCACUUCUUCCCCUUAGCAGCUUCAGUCCCAUACUAGUAAUACAGAGCAUAAGGCUGUGACUCCUUAGCUCCAUUCCAAGUAGGAGUAGCUCAAUUCUAUCCCCCAGCAGGGCCCCAACACAGCACUUGGUUCACUAGUAUCAGGCUUGGGAACAGUGGUUGCAUUCUGAUAGUAGUUAGCUCCAUUCUCAAUACCACUAGCAUCGGACUUAGCAGGCGCUGUUCCAUUCUCAUACUGCCUGGGUAAAGCCUGUAACUCGAACCGGAUAGCCACCAAGCAACUACGUACGAAUUAUACUACUUAUCAACUCAUUCAUAAUCUAUACUUAGCUACAUUAGCUGCAUUGCUUCCAAGACUAUUUCAUUGGAACAACAAGUCAUUUCAUUAGCUGUAUCAAAGCCAGUACAGUACUUUCUUCUCUUCUUUCUUCCUUUGUAAACCUCUGAUCGCCCUUAUACAUACUUCGAAAGAAACAAGUAAACUCUCUCUUCUUAUUUCAAAGAAUUAGUCAGUAAUUCCUAAUAGAAUUAAUAUAGUUUUGUGUUAAUAGCCUAAUAGUAAGAUAGAUAGUUACCGAUUGCCCAAGCCCCCCUUCGUAGAGAAUUUCACUCCUUUAUGGAAUAUUAUGCUUCCUCAAACAUCUAUACCGGUUCAGAUCCUUUGCCAACAACUGGAUACUUUCCUUAACUUGACUCUCUUAUUGCCCCACCUCAUAUAUAAUGUGAGCUUGCCCCACCUAUCCAUCUCUGAAUGGUUUCUUUUGCCCCACCUAUCCAUCUCUGAAUGGUUUCUUAAAAAACGCACGGGAGGUUCGCGCAUCAGUCAACGACCAAAGACGCGGUUGCUGGGCCAGAGCACACAUGGUUACUAAAAGAAUGAGUGGGCCCACAGUGGCUAACAGAAAUCAUUACCGGGGCGCGGUACCAUCAUUGCAUAUGCGAUGGACCACCUCGUUGUUCGCAGUUUCUACCAUUGGAUGUCCUCCCUUUCUUUCUACCAUUAUUCAUCCGGUUUUUUCAUAGCUAAUUUCUCAUAUCUCCUCUGAUCUUGGAUACUUUCCUUGAACUGAACCUUUCCACUCAUAAUAGAAAAACAAUCAAAUCACAAAUGAUCAAAUCACAAAUAAUAUAGAGCCAAGCAACUACUAGACGCCAAGCAACUACGGAAGUAGUUGUGCGGCAGUAACAACAAUAGGGCCAAGCAACUACUAAUGUUGCGCGGCAGGGCCGCUAGAGUUCCCCAGUUAUUACUAGUUAUGUGUUCGACCAAGCAACUACUAAUGACCAAGCAACGGGACAAACAACUGCUAAUGUUGUGCGUCAGCAAUAGUCAGAAGUCAUAACGAAGUUAUUACAGUAUCUGUGCUCGGACGUUGUGCGGUAGGAGCCUGAGCUAAACGGUAGCGAGUUAAAAGAGCGUCAGCGAGCUGAAAAGCGGCAGCAAGUAAUAGUUAUGUAAAAGUUAUUACAAUAGAUGCUUUCGGGAGUCUGAGUGAAAACGGUAGCGAGUUAGGCCUCGCUUUCUUUCUUUAACUAAUGCCUAUGAGCCUGACCCAAAACCUUGCUUUGCUGUGUCUUUGCCUUUGCCCACUUGCUUUCAAACUGACACCGCUCCACUUCAUCAUGUAUUGGUAGGGGUCGUUUUAGGGCUAGACCUUGAAGUUUGGAAGUCCUAUUUGAUAUUAGUAGGAAAACAUACUAUCAAUAGAAACCAUAUUAUCAUAAGUCAAUAAACUAAGUCAGAAGUAAAGACAGCAAUGUCCGUUUUAUACAAUAGAAUAGUCAUUAGGUGUUCGGUGUUGAAGCCCUAUAGGCAGGAAAGUCAGCCCCGUCAGUAGUAGCGAGAUUCCUUAUUUCUAGAUUGAUUCUUUUACAGAUUAGCUCAAUAUUUUAUUCCCUGUUGAUAACUUACUGGUGCAUAACAUUAUUCAGUGGAGAACCCAAUUCUGAAAUGUAUAUUCUGCAAUUCCACUAUCCACAACCGACGUAAACAAUAGUAAAAACGAGAGUCCAGCUACUACUGACAAUAAUGCAAAUACUCACUAUGAACCCACCCUUGCUUAGUUUCAGGCUUAACCUAAUAGCUUCAAUUAUAUGACUACUCACUAUAGGUCUCCCAUUCCCUUCCCUUCUUUCACUCUUAAAUGCAUUGCCUUAAUACUUUAUUGCACCUUUGCUUCUUCUAUAACUAACUAUAGGCCUGCUACUUGACUUGUAGUCUGUAGUUACUUGCUUUGAAGCUGACACACUGCCCUUUAUCUCAAUACAUAUCUACUGCUCCGUAUUACGCAACUGACCUAAAUGAAAGAGUGCGAGCGGUAGUCCACCACCCCUUUCUGUGAUUCUUGGUUUCGCCCCUAUAACCUUCCAUGCGUGACAAACCCCUAUGGAUUGAAACCCUAGUAUGGCACACCCUAGUAUAAUAAAGCAAAGGGCGACACAGAGGUAUUUCUUGUCUUGGUCUAGUCGAAACUUAGGACGUAGUGGAUCAUUCACCAUCACCAUCGUGUACGUGCAUCGUGGAUGCGAUCAACGUUCAUGCAUCACAAGUACCUCGACCAUGAAACCGUUCUUCAAGUUCAACCUUUGAGGAGCAUCGCACAGUCUAUGAGCUGCCGGGGACUAAUUCCUUUAGCUGCGUUGGACUCAUUCUUUUAGCGGCGUUCUCCGUGGAUCAUCUCUUAUUCAUAGUAGGACCAUCGUUCAUGGAGGACAUCAUAGUAGGACCGUCGUUCAUUCAUCGCGAACGGCCUAGGCAAGGGAAUCAUUAUGAAAGUCACUUCACCUAUUCUGCGAACGAUCAUCGGACCCGGACCCCGAGGCACAAUUCCAUCAUUCAUUCAUAGGUAGGUCGUCCACACACUCGUUCUUUGCUCUGGUCCAGCAACUACGUCUUCGUUCGUUCGUUCAUCGAUGGUCCCGGGGCAUAUAAAGUACUUCGCUCGUUCAUGCAUCUUGGGUGCGAUCAACGUUAACAAAUGUUUGUUCGGGAACUGCUAAAGUUAAUAAGAAUAAUGGGUGUGUUGUCGAUUCAAGAGAUGGAUCAGGGGGCCUAAGAUCAUAGGUUUUGUAGUUGAAAGCCGGUGUUCAAGCCAACAACUCUACCUGGGAACUUUUCCUCUGUAUAGUAGCAAAUAGCCUGCCUUUUUUCUAUGAUUGAUAUACCAAUAAGAAUAGAGGGCCCGCACUACGUCCAUGAUUGAUAGAAUCACUACACUAGUAUUUUGGGGUCCAUCCCACCUAUACAAACAUAGAGAAAACAUAUAGAAAAGAGAAAACAAAACAUAUAGAAAAGAGAAAACAUAUAGGAAAUGGAAAUAGAAGAGACCUUUUUUCUAAUACAUUUCCUUCAUAGAAUAGGGGAGAAUAUUAUAUACAUGAACUGAAUCAUCAAUAUGAGAUGAGGUAAUGGUAAUGCCAGGCCCAACUACAAGGAUUAGACCAGGGAAUGUAAGGCAGUUGACCUAAAGCGAGAGCCAGGAAAGCAAUACUUUUGUUACGGCGCAAGGGGCUGGGUUUCUAGCUUAGGUGUUUCGUUCUUGAUUCUGAUUUUCAUUGGCGUAGUUCAGUAGCGCACGUAGUAGUAAUGAGUGACGCAAUACAUAGGAAGAGGGACGGACAGUUCCGACUGAGACUGAAAGGAACACGGGGAAGGCAGAGUAGGCUAACAAUCACAUAAAUAGGAUCCCCGGAUCAGUAGUUCGAUUACCGGUUAUGAGUUAAAGUCCCAUUGACAGUGGUUUCAUUCAAGUAGUCGUAAGUUAGAGUCUUGUUAACGAUGGUUUGAUCCCUUAGGGAAUACAUAUGUUAGAUCAGUAGGGGCGGAGUGAAAACAAGUAAGGACAAGCUCAUAGCAAGUAAAGCAAUACCUUAUACCGAGGUAGGUGUGUGGACCUCUAAGGCAUUAGUUGAAGGACCCGGAUCAGUGUUUAGAGAGUUAGAUCGAGGGGCGGGGGACUGAUAAAACGAAACACAGUUAUGGGCUUGGGAAGCUAGUGAGUUAGGCUUGAAGAAAGGACAUUGAGAUCGGUAGCGGCGGACUAAAAGCAGUAGUCGAUGCUAGUUUAGAUGGGGCUUGUUUAUGCCUGCCUAUACGAACCACAAAGAUAAGCCCUCUCUCCCCGCUAUCAAGUUCUGUAUUCGGGCCUGCUUAUCUUAUACCCGGACUUCAUUCUGACUUUCCGUAUUGAUAGAAAGAGAACUCCUCUGCGUGCGCCCUCUGAAAGCUACAAAUAACACAAUUUCAAGCAGGUUUUCUCUCUUCCUAGCAAUUACUCAUUGAAAACUAAUCAACUGUACUUAUAAGUCAUUUCUUCCUAACAUAUUUAUGGCAUUAAUUAAGGGGACAAGCUAGUUUAGUGUUUAGUAUAGAACUACUCGACUCGGUAAUCAACAGAGAAUCAAUGAUUUGUGUUCCCCAAGAGAGUAAGCAGUAUGGAAAGGUGUGCGAGCAGAGCAAGCAACGGGUAGAUCGAAGUAAUAAGCUUCUUCCAUAGCUUUUUCAUAGAAUAAUCUUUCACUGGUUGGAUUUUUCCUUUAGCUGUUUUUCCAAGUGUGUAGUAACUAACAACAAGAUAAUCUUAUUCAAGUGGAGAGUAAGGAUCAGGUCCAGGUCCAACAGAAGAAGUUGUGCAAGUUGACGAAAACAGGACUUUCCGUUAUUAACCCAACACUACUUACUCUCGGAGAACAAGUGGUUCAGGUGAGGAAACACGCUCUGAAGCUACUGAAGAUGCAGUGUAUUUACUGAUUGAUGUCUAUACCAGGGCCAAUCAACUACUAACGGACAAAGAGAGGAGACAAGCAUACAGACAGAAGGUAUGGGAGAGUCUCCAGUAUAACCCAUGUGUUCAGUAAGAAACCCAAUAGGAUUUAGCUAUAAGGGUAAGAACAAGAGUGCUGAGCUGGGUAUGCACGAAUAAUCGAAUAAUCUAAUAAAUAGCCUACUAUAAAGGUAAGAACCAGUUGAUCUAAUUGUCUUUCAUAAGGAUCGAAAGCAUAAACAAGAAAAAGAUCUGAGUACUGAUAAGGAUCUUCAGAAGUCAAGUGUCCCAGGGUAGGGAAUAGGAAUGCGCUAUCUCUAUCCCAAAGAGCCAAGUAACUCCUAAUGACCAAGCCACUACUACAAAGGCAACCGAGCCAAGCAACGACUACUGUUGCGCGGUAGGAGCCUGAGUGAAACGGCAGAGCCGCUUAAGUUCCCAGUCAUAACGAAGUUAUUACAAUAUAUGUUUUCGAGGUAUAACGAAGUUAUUACGAUCUAUGCUUUCGGUGCGGUAGCCAUUAAGAGAUAUUACAAAUCAUAACCGCCAAGACACUGCUAAUGUGUCGCGGAGGAGCUUCAACUGUUUUUGGGAGCCUUGUUUCCGGGAUUUUGGAUAGCAAUUCCAGACUUCAGUACCUGAUGAGGCUAGUUCAAUUCAUUACUUCAGUACUUAUAGUCAGCAGUGUACUUAAUAAUAGGGCAGAAGGAGAGGCUAGCUUUGACUACUAUAAGGGGCAAGAACAAGAGCUGGACGACUAUCUUAUUCCCCGACCUAAACUAUCACUGCAGUUUCUCCGGAUUCCGCUUCUCAUCUUACUGCAAUACAUGAACAAACCUAUCGACUACACCACCGCUUGUUGAUGCUUACUUUCUAUCUUAUGCUUUUGAUUAAGUAAGCGCAUUAGGAGCUGCUCCACCUAUUACUGUGGCAUCUGCUCUAACAACAUACUUUGGAACAGCAUCUUCUCUUCAUCAAUAGGAUGGAUCUUGAACUGGGCGAACAGAACAAGUAGUGGCUUGCCUUGCUUUGAAGCGCUAAGUGAAUAAGUUUCAUCAGUGUUAGUUGGCUACGGGAGAGGAGUUGGCUGGCGCUUGCUUGACUGUCUACACAACGAGGGAAGAAUCAAGAUCAUGCAGCAGAUAUAGGAUCUUAAUACGGAGAUGUCAAGUCUCGUUUUACAAGAUCAUCAGCAGUUCAAAAGGUCAGGUCAACAGCUAGAUCAGUCUCAUAAUAAGGAUCUGGAUCCGAGGCUGGGCAAGGAAAAUCUACUUGUUCAGGUAAAGAAUAAGGAGAAGGCCCGGAAUCCGCAGUAUCGAAUCAGUCAGCUGCCCGCGGUUCCUAAAGUAUAGAAUAAGAAUCCGUUCUAAAGUCAGGAGAAUGGCCAGUUCGAAAGUCAAGUUAGGGUGUUGAAGAAGUCGGAAAGCCCUAUUAAGUAAGUCGGAAUACAGAUGCGGAAUGAACUGUUCUUGUUAAGUCGGUUCUACAAGAUUAGUUCUUGGCUUGACCUUUGUUAGUGCUUCUGUAAUUGUAAUAGGCUUGACCUUUGUUAUGUUACUAGUAGUUGCUCUACUGCUUGGCGAGUUGAAUACGUUUGUUGUUGACCAGAGUAAGAAAUUGAUGUUUGAGUUGAAAGAUAAGAAUCAAGAUAAGGAGAAGAUCCUAUCCAACUGAAUAAGUCUUGUUCACCAGCCUGGGUACUAUAGAAUCUCAGGUAACCUCCCAUGCGCUCUAAACGAGAAAGUCAGAAUGGAACUAAACUCACCGGACUAACGCGAGUGACACUUGGUCUCCGGACUCCUUACUCUGAGGCAGAACAGAGGCACCACAACGAAAUCACUGUUGCCAAUACUGACUCCCUUGCCAAUACUGACUCCCUCCCUUGCCCAAUACGGAAAAGAAGAUCAUAUAGCUAGAAACUACUUGCCCAAUACGGAAAAGAAGAUCAUAUAGCUAGAAACUACUUGCCCAAUACGGAAAAGAAGAUCAUAUAGUUAGAAACUACUUGCCCAUACGGAAUUUCAAUGACUCACUGCUAAUACUGCUAAUAGAAUAGUAGAGUAACCUAACCCUCACUACGCUAACCCUUGCGUCUUCUUCCCUUGCGAGUACUGCUUUCGGUGUUCUAAGCAAUAGAUCAGCUUAUGAUCCAGCUCUUUCUGUAUCUGUAGACUAAAUCAUCUGUGAUCCUGUUCUUUCUGUAUCCUUAGGCGAAUUCAAUAGGCAUUUCCUACUCAAGUUCCUGUUCUUAUUGAAGUUGCAAGUCAAGCCCUUAUGUUAAUGGUCUGUUCCUGUGUUCGGGUAUUCAAGUUGUUAGUUUCAUGACUUAUCGUCACCAACACCGAACUCCCCCUCCCAACUGACCUUACCGAACGAUACCCAGAAUUAUGAUUUGUAAUUGAGAACUUCCCUCCCUUACUUGUAUUCUUUAGAUACUUACUUGGAUUCCUAAUAUGCUUGCUUUCACUCCGUAGUUUGAGUUAGAGCCUUGCUUUGCUGUAUAUCAUUCCGAUUCUCAGUAACCCUAUGCUUUCAUUAUCCUUAUUCACCCUGACUUUCUGGCUUUCUUGAUUUCCCGCUUACUUCACUUUAGCCUCUUAUGAUUAGUACGAUGAAGACCCCCGGCACCUCUUCUUCUUUCUAUAUAGGAUGAAACCCAAACUCCACUCUAAGACCCGCGGACAGCUAACACAGAUUCUUUUCUCGGAAACUCCACUCGAACAGAAAGAGACCUUGUCACCAAGAACUAUCAUUGCUGGUUCCCUUGCUUUAAUUAAGAUCUGGGUAGGUAUUUGUGUGUAUUAAGAAUGGAGUGUGCAACCGUAUAUAGGGUAAUAAAAGCACUCUAAAAGACAUCUUAUAGCUUCAGUCGUUAGGAGGUGCAACAAAGAAUUCAAUUGAUCCACCUCUUGCAGUUCCCGUUAGCACAUAAUGAGAUUGAACUGACCUCUGCUUUAUCGCUAUCUUUCUCGAGUAAUUCACCGUAUUUAUAGUACCUUCUUCACCCGCUUACCAAAACUUCAUUAUAUACUCCAGUACGGAUGCGUUUGCUGCUGACUUUCGUACAGGAAACUCUCCUUCUUCCGCUUCUACUUCUUAUUCCAACUAAUGUUAUUACUAGCUUUAGAUCCGUAUUCCCCUGUGUCUUCUGCUUGUACUGCUUUAGGUGUUCUAAGCUAUAUCUUGUUCUGUCUGAUCCUGCUCUUCAAACGGAUAUGUCACUUUAUACUGUACUUGUUGAAUGUAGGUGCACCUGUUUCAGUUAUAUGAGUAGUGUUGUAACCUUACUCUUCACUUAUGGAAUUCAAGAAAGUAAGCAAUAAGCAAGCAGGAAAGGGGAAUUCCGUUAUUGACCUGAAGUCGGUAUAGAAAGGGGUGAUUGGAAAAAGUCUACCAGAUCAGAAGCUUAUUAACUUAGCAGUCAAGAAAGUUGGGUUAGAAAUCAAGUAGAGUGAGGGUGCAAGUACCGUUGACAGUACAGUGUCAGUUCCAUUUCUUUCUGCUUCUGCGAGAGAUUCAAUGAAUUCUUAAGCUUGUUCGGUUCGAGUGGAAUCUGUUUGUCUUAGAGCACCUAACGCCGAAAACAUCACUUAUCAAAACUCGUAUUAGUUUAUCCCGUAUUAAUUUAGAUUAUUAUGUAGUGGUUCUUUAGUUGUUGUUUCCUAUUCUUCUGUAGUAGUUAUGUUGGGUUCAGUGCAGGUGCCUUACUUAAUGCGUGCUAUGUACUUAAGUGGAGUCUCUUUUACUUGUGUUCCCUUGGUUUAUGUAUUCCUCCUUUCUGGAUUCGAUACCAGUCGUGAUUCCCUACCCCCAUUAUCCCUUUCCUUUGCUUUAGGACUCCUCAACUCUCUUCUUUCUCCGCGUUACGAGCUUCUUUUCUUCCCUUGGAGUGUUGGACUUGUUUACUGACUUUGUGGGGUAGGCUUCAGUGCUUUUGUUUACUUACUUGGCGGGUAGGCUUCUGUUUCUCACCCGGGUCGGGUAGGCUUCUGUCAUUCCAAUACGAGGGACGGGUGGUAAACAUAUACAUAAAGAGUUGCCUUAGGAGGUAUCGGGUAUAUCGAAUCAAUCCAGGGACCAACUCUAAGGGGACCUACUCUAAGUGCUCUUUCAUUCCAGUUUUCUCUUAGUUUAGAGUUAAAGGCAAUGAUUGUUUUGGUGAACAAGGCUCGAAAUAGGAGUUCAUUACUAGGGAGUUCAAGAGUAAAGUUUUUGUCAACCUCUGAUCUUAGAGUAGAGCCUAUACAACUUUUGAUUCUUCAAAGGAUUCUACAAGAGAAGUCCACCUGUUUUCUCAAGUUACGUUCGGGUAUGCAAGUGAAGUUUAGGUCGUAACUGCAAGUAUAGUUUGAGGAAGAAUAAAGGAUAGUUGUUCCAUUAUUGGCCUUGCGAGUACUCUUAUAUUGCGCCUGCACCAUUGCUUGGUUCUAUUUCAUUUCCCUACAAGAUGGAAUCGGUAGACUCACUGUUGCCUGUUGCGGCCUAUUAUGAGUUUUAGGGCUUGUAUGUAAAGAAUAGAGUUCUCUUUCUCUCAGUGCUAGUGCUCCAGAGGUUGGUACUAAGACUCGAGAGGCAAUAGGGUUUAAAGGAUUGGCUUGAUGUCAGUCGUGUAGAGAGAUUCAAUGAAUUCUUAGUUGGACCGCUCGAAAGAUUUCACAGUAGAAAGGAAGUAAGCUGCCCUAGGAAAGUCAAGUUCAGCAAAAGCAAUUGAAUGUACCUAUCUGAGAAUUGCACUCGAAACUCCUUUACUCGCUUAUUGAAUAAAACCGUAGCUUAUAGAAUUGAGACGGAUGGAUCCUAGUCCAUGACUGCGGAACAACAUGGAAUUAUUGCCCCCGGUACAAAACCUCCUGACUGUAGGCUCUACCUCACUAAACAGCUUGUUGAAACCUCACUGCUAAAGUAGAAAUAUAGAGAUUAUUUCAAAGCAGCAUUGCUUCGCUUUCUAUCAACUACACUUGAUCCUAAACCUGAUACUGCCCUUCGAUUGCUUACUUUGUAUCCGGUAUGUAUAUGUAUAAGAUGAAAGUUGAACUAGAACGGGCUGCUCAAAAGAAGCUUUAUCAAUAGAAGAAUUCAAAUGAAGUUAAUGUGUUUGUUGGCGCAAGUGAAAGAGUGAAAGACCAUAAAGAGAAAGAUGGGUUUACGCGGUCUACAGAAGAAAAGAGAGGUGAGAGUGUCAGUUCAGAACUCAAAGAAUUCUACUAAAGGACGGAUCGGGUACUCAAUCUAGCACUCCUACUGUUGCUACUCUCCUCUUGCCCCUUUAAUCAGUGGUCCUGUUUCAAAAGAGGAUUUAGCUAGCAGUUUUAGGGGUGCGAAAGUAAGGAUCAGAAUAAGGAUUCUAUUAAGGAUCAGAACCAUAAGCAGAAGAAGUAUUGAGCCACGUAUUAUAGAAUUGGAUAACUAACCAUGUGUUCUUAACAAACCUAGUAGAAGAAUCAAACCAAAAAGUCAGAGUGGAACUCCCAACACAAAAGAGAGAAUCGAACUUGAACGGAAGAAACAUAAUUCUUAGUCGGGUCUACUUGAACGGAAGAAACAUAAUCCUUAGUCGGGUCUAAUAGAUAUAGUGAUGUGUAGUUACAUAGGUUCAUAAGUUACUGUGGUGUUAGCGCCCCUCUAUAAGUCUGGAUCACAUCCCCCAAAGGGUGGAAACAGAAUCAAGGGAUUCAGAAUCAGAAUUAGACUCUGUAGUAUAAGAAUGAAAACAUCUGCUUCAGGACACCUCGCUUCAUAAGUACCGAAUGAUGCCCUUACCUUAGCAUUAGUUAGCCCUUCCCUCGGCCGGUCUUCUACUAAUAAUCAUAAGGGACCGGUGCUUACUUGUCUAUUGGACACUGAACCUAGACUUUAGAGGCAAUUCUCUAGCUGAAGAUCAGUAUUCCUCACCUUUUCCUGCUUCCUCUCUGGAUGCUGCCCCCGAACUUGACUUUUGAACAGUAACUGGGCAUUAACUUACCGCUUCAAAGCCUGUUUCAGAUAAAGAUCCUGCUUUCGUGCCUAUUAUUCCAUAAAGCCUGACUAGUGAUGCAAUUGCUAAUCAGUGGCUUCCAACUAAACUAUCUAAUUGAGCCUGCCCAUCGCCGGAAAUUGAGCUUUAUAGAGUCAGUCGGCGGCCCUAGCUAUCUGCUGUCUGCAGCCAACCGAAGUGCCCAAUCAGCAAGAGACGAAAGAAAGCGCUUUGGGUUUGAUUUCCGCCUAACAUCAUUCUGGUCAGGAUGGCAGUAGCUUAUGUUUCGAUCUCCGGGUGGCAAUGAGUAAAGCCGGCCUAAAGGAUGAAGUCAAGCAAAUCAGAUCCUAGCCGACUAGAAGCGAAGGUAUGAGUUUAAGCUAGCAGUGAGCCCAAUACUCUUAUGACUUUCUUUGUCUGAUACUUUAACUGGAAUUUGAACUACUAGAUUGGAGCUUCUACUUGAACUUUCUAACUCUUACAAGGAUUUGGGCUUAUACUUGAACUUGAAUUAGAACUAAAUACUCUUACAAGGAGCUGAUACUUUAACCAAGGAUUGGAGCUGAUACUUAAUCUAACUCUUACAAGGAGCUGAUACUUGAACUUUCUAACAUAGAGAGCCAAUUCCAAUAGACUUAUGGAAGGUUUCAUCUUUCUUUCCUCAAGGGUUUCGCCCCUGGUCUUGAAUCAAACCUUAGGCUUCACACUUGACUUUCACUACUUUAUAGAACUACAAUCCCUGUCAUAAACACAUGUAUCCUUCUUUCUGCAUUUUGUUAUAUUCGAGAAAGAAAGCCAACACUGAACUUUAGAGCAUAGGAAAGCUGCUUUAAGGGAAUCGAAUAGGUCUUGUCUUGUCUUUACGGAAAGCCGCUUUAAGGGAAAGGAAAAUGAGAGGUCUUGUCUUUGUCCCCACUAGUAACCUAUACGUGGGCCUUACUUAACCUAACAAAGAGUGGUGGGCAUUAUCAAAUGAAUGAGCUUCUUUCUACGCUAAUGCUUUUAAAGCUGUUUCAAGUCCCUUUGCUUUCUCGUUACCAAUCCAGAGAGAAUCAAUGAAUCCACACUGUGGGCAUCCUCUUCGGACCAUCAAGAUGUUAGGAAGAAAUGAACUUCUACUGCCGAUAAGUCUAUUGAAUAGGUCAUUUGCCAUCAACACAUAAGAAGUGCAGAAAUAGCUCCUUUUAUGCUCCGCUUCUAGCCUGUCUUGUGUUCUAGAGCACCAACCCAAACCUAGCUACAUCCUCCCACCGACCAGUCGCAUCCUGUCACUCCCGAGUUUGAGCCUUAGAUGCACCGGUUUGAGUCUAUCAAUGCCCGGCAUCAGCCACCAAGCAACUACUAAUGACCAAGCAACGGGACAAACAACUGCUAAUGUUGUGCGUCAGCAAUAGUCAGAAGUCAUAACGAAGUUAUUACAGUAUCUGUGCUCGGACGUUGUGCGGUAGGAGCCUGAGCUAAACGGUAGCGAGCCUUCACCUAAGCAUAAGUCUGAGUACCUGAGUACCACUAUAGUAGGUGCAUUCUUAUCAACUACCCCUAGCUUCAGGGAAUUGGUGGACUCCCUGGGACUACUGAGUGAAAUUCUAAUUGGAACGAAUUACAAUAAGGGGUUGCCCUAGUAGAUGCUAAGAAGAAGACCACUUAGACCUAUUAAUACUAGACACUGACAACCAUCCCUAUUUGUACUAGACACUGGCAACAAAACCCUCAUUGGCUGCCUCAGCUACUGAUUCCACUGGACCAGACACCUCUACUUGUCAACUUCAGACUAAACAAGGGAGUCAACUCCUAAUGAAGGGGAUUCAACUCAAACCAUUAACUACUGGGCUGCUACUACCCGGUCUGAAGACUCUAACCAUUAACUUCAGGGCGGGAUCUUUUCUCUUCUCUUUCUCCCUUCCUUAUUCUUUUAGUCUACCCUUUCCUUUGCUCCCUAGCCCUAUUGUUGUGGUACAAAGAAUGGAGCAUGAUUAAGUCUCGAGUGAAGUCUCUUUAGGUGAUUCUUGUGUUGUUUGUGUUUAAGCGUGGAGAGAUAGGUGCUUCUGAUGCGCUUCAAUCUUAUACUGGUUUUGUUUCAAGAUCCGUAGAAGAAUAAGAGUAGAAAGCCGAAGAUGUAUCUCUAUCUGUAUCAGUUGCUGUAGCAGUAUAAAGAUCUGGAUCUACUGCUGGGCGAUAGGGUUCACUCACUAUGUCUUUACUAACGCACCAGUGAGUUACUGUUCAGUUGCGCUAUCGCUUAUUUACCCGCUAGCCGUCAAGUUCAAGUAUCAAGGUUAAGGUAACGAAGCAGCAAUGAAAGGAUAGUUUCAGUUGACAGAAUCAAUUACUGGCAUAGCUAUGCGAGGUUAGUGAUUGGCCAGCCAAACCUAAGUCUACGAGAUCAUCGGAAAGAGCAGGAUCUGGGAAGUAUGCAGCAAAUGGUUCUGUUUUCGGGAGAUAGAGAACCCGAAGGCAAAGCAAACAAGAAAGAAGUGAUCACUUGUUAUUACAAUAUAUGUUUUCGGCUCUCAUUCCAUCUUCCACAGGUGCAUUCAAAGGAGGAUCUCUUGGCUCUAUAAAUAAUAUAGGAGAAACCCAUCUCUGAUUAUAGGAGAAACCAACCAACCCAUCUCUGAUUAUAGGAUAAACCCAUCUCUUAGGAAAUAGAUGAGCAAGCAAAGGAGUAAAGGAAGUCCAGGUUAAGUUGGUAUAUGAUUUAUUACUACCGGUAUAGUACAGUAGUGAAAGAGGUCUUUCUUCUUCAACGGGACAAACAAUGGCGAGUCAAAAGGAUUCCUCAGACAGGUUCUCUCUCGGACAGGCCAGGCGAACACAGGUUAACGGAUGGAUUACACUUACUGAACUGAACCGCUGAACUAGAACUGGCAAUUAACUUACCGCUUCAGAUCUGAGAACCAGAUCCUUAUUCAAAGCCUGUACCCGACACAUUAACUCGAUCUGCCAUUAAGCCUCCAAGAGAAGGAUCCGUGGCCGGGGGUUCACUCGCUAACUCCAGUUCCAGCGGAAUCCCUUGUUUUCUCCUAUCUAGUUUCAUCCUUCUUUGUUGGGGCAACGAGAUAGGUUCCGAGUGUUGCAAGAGUAGAGGAAGGCGGGCUGGUCUAUAUGAUUAAGAGAGGAAAUGCACUUGGACUAUGCGGUGUGAGUGGAAUACCGACUUUCUUUCAAAACAAUAAUAUCUCUUUCUGCUACUGAGGGGAUUCCUCCCUUACUUGGACCAGAAGGACAGUUUCCCAGCGGAAAUAGUAGAUUCCACAUAAGAGGAGAAGAGAAGCCCUACCGCCAUAAACAUAGGAAACGAAAAGAAUGCCAGAUGGAUUGAUUGCCCCGCCCCGCACUGGAUGGAUUGUCUCUCUCUAAGCCAAGAGCACCAACACUCGCAACUCACUUGAAAUCCUAUUCCAACCUGCGAGCUAGAGCGGGACUAUAAGACCAAAAACGGACCACUUAAGCGAGAUCAUAUAGAUAUUUGCUAAUCUUACUUCAAUCUAUACUCAACACUGCAUCCUUCAUCAGAUACAGCACUGUCAACAAAUCAUUCAUUUCGGGGACGCCAAAGAAAACUCUCCUUUCAGAACUUUCUACAGCUGAUGAUCUCGGCGCUGCUAAUGAUCUGACUUUCUAUACGCCAACAAACACCUCCGGCUGCUUCCUUUCGAACUACACUUUAAGUCAGAACUGCUUUAACAGCUUCUUCUCCAGCUGAUGAUUUUGUUUACUUUACAAACACCAUCACUUAUUCACUUAGCGCUUCAAAACCAUUAAGAUAAAGAUAGUCGGCUAUACCAGAUGUAGAGUGGAGAGGCCGGAAGCAGAUUGAACUCUUUCACGCGGUGUCCCUAACGCGAGUGAGUGAACCUUUCUUUUCUGACCGGCUUCAAUAUAGAUCGUAUUUAUUACCCCAUUCAUUAUAUACAAUACUUUUACCACACCUCGCUUCCUUCCUUAACAGAGAAGAGACCUGAGCCCUUGUUGACUAAGCUUGUUCAGAUGAAGCCAAUCUGCUUAUCCUUUAAGAGAAAAUAGGCGCAUGCGCAUCCAUCAAAAGACUGGAAGAAGAAACAAACUUGAAUGGAACUUGCUGCUGAAGCGCUCACUCCUGACUCAACAAGCUCUAACACUGCUGACUCUAUCUACUCUUUGAACUUGACUUUCUUCCUCGAACUCUGUAAUUGAAUGAAACUCCGGAAACUGAAACUACACUUUAUGAACCUGAUCCUGUUGCUAUUGAUUCUGGGCACUGCUUACGAUGAAACUCAUUGUCCUGUCCCGCUGCGCUUACUUGAGCCUCCGCCUCUAUAAUUACCUCACUCCAUUCUAUACGUCACUCCCCUUAACGUGCUUGUUGGUUAACAAUUCUCUUCUUCAAGCAAGGGGCAGUUCGCAAGUGCGCUUCCUUUCUUUCUACGGAUUCUUCUCGGGUAGACUCGCUACUUCCCGCUUCUAAGCUUGCUAUUGCUAAUGGUGAUCUGCCUUUUGUUUGUUCUGAUGCCGAUGGAACAUUAGUAGGCUUUAGCCAAUAAGUUGAGUUUGAGGCCUUGGCCCUUAGUGACUUGGCUAGUUGGAAGCUUAAUUGUAAGGCUCGGAGUGUACGUAAGACAGAGGAAUUAGUUGACUUCGGUAGUCUGCACUUCAAGUCCUUUGUUCGUCUCCGGGAGUCCUGUCCUUUAUUCUUUCGUAAUAGCAGCCAAUGCCGAUACUUAUUAACUCAAUACCUAUAGGAGAGUGUGAGCCCGCCUACCUUUUAGUUAAGUCCACCGUUCCUUUAUCUUAGUAAGUCUUUCCUUUAUCUAAUUCUUUAGUUCGAGAUCUAGGCCUACUCUACUUCCAACAGGGCUUUAUCCACUAGCUAUCAAACCAAAACUACUUAACCCAAUUCUGUAUUGCCUGUACCAGACUUAUUUGUAAUAUCCAAUCUAUAUCUUGAAUCUCCGCAUACAGAUCCCGGUGCCUACCCUUGUUUGAAAACUAUAUAUAUUGCCUUCCAUUCUAAGACUACAGGCCAUGUAUCGAUCUUUACAGCCCUCUCCGUGAGCCUUCCCCUAUUACCGAUGAGUCUGUUACUGCUUACUUGUAUUCCCUAUUGAACCUGUUAGUAUACUUCUCCUGUCUUCUAUUGUUUAACCACUGCAUCGGAUCCUUACUUCUUCGUUUCGCACUACCUCUCUUUGUUUUCAAACAGGUAACUAUCAACAUUAGACUGACUUUCCUUUCUCUUGGCCUGUAACUUGCCUUAUCCAAUUAUUCAACUAACCGACUUAAGUCUAUAGCUUCCCUCGCAGUAACUCUUCUUUUUCUGGCUAUUAGGCUUUCAGCACCUUGCUUUCCGCCUAUAAAGUACUUCUCAUACCUGACCUUGUAGUAGGGAAUUGACUACUGCCUAACAGGAAUGGAACCAAUGCUCGAAGUCAUACUUUAUAUAUGGUUUGGCAGGCAUUGAUUGAGGUGUAAGUGGUGUCUUGGUGGUACGUACGAUCGCAUACAGGAAUAGAGUCCAGUCCCACUGGUGAUAAAAACACGGAUAUCUCACAUGGGCCCUACGCUACAAGAGAAUCGACUAAUGCACUACCAACUGCGACUAGCCUAUACACUGAUAUCCCUCGCUUUAGUUCUUCAACUGAUGCCUUUAACUCUUCAGCUCAACGCUAAUUCUUCUAUCAUGCCUUACUGCGGAUAAAAAGAAUUCUUUUGUCCUCUCGGUUCCGAGCCUUAUGCUUAUAUUGGCCCAAGCCUUAUUGAUCUAUUAGGUACAUCCCAAGCCUUAUUGAUCUAUUAGGUACAUCCCAAGCCUUAUUGCAUCUAUUACAUCCCCAGCCUUAUUUGAAAACGGACAUUACUGACUUUUGUUCCUUCUUUGACUCUUUCUUCUUAGAAACUCCCUUCGCUGCUGCCCCUACUGCCCUCAAUGCUUUAGUGAAAUUGUUAGGCUUAACUUACUACCUUAGAGUAUUACUUACCCUGCUUCAAAUCGAAUAUUCCCGCUUCCAAGCCGGUAUCUUGGCCUCUAUCUACUGCCUAUAAGUAUUGCUUUCCUCCCUCACUAACUAGUAAAGUACCCUACUUGUUCAUCAUUACAGCAACCCGAACUAGGAGCUAAGCCUGCAAUUGUUCUAUCUGAUUCUACAACCGCUAACUACUAGAUUCAAUUACAAACUAACGGAUCCAACUCAGAACUAUAAUACCUUAACCAAAAAAGGAGAAUUCCACUACUAUAUCUAGGACCUGCACUACCUAAUAUGAGAAUCAACCUAGUGCUAACAGGACUUAUGCCCCAAGCUAAGACUGACUUUACCACCCUGGAGCUUUGCUUUGUGAGUUCCGGAAUUCCAUCUAUGAAGUAAGAACACAGCUAACACUAAUUAGAAGAAAAGACGGAAGUGAGAAUACCGCUGCUCUCCCCGAACCCGACACUCCCUUUAUCUAAUUCCCCCGAUCCUUUGACUUGUUCCUGAUAUUCCCGUCUCUAGGGCUUACUUCCUGGCUUCCAGUUCUAUUCUUUCUACUGGGGUAGCUAUUCUAUAGUGUAGUGUUUUCUCCUUAUAAGGGUAUAUUAGUAUACAGUGACUUAGCUUGGUAUCCAGAAUUGGACUCCAAGUAGCACCAGUUGGAUUCUAACUAGUACCAGUUGUCUUCCCUUUCUCUUGUUUUAGUUUUACGCUACAUCGUACCCACGAGCUGAGUCCUUUAGACAGUAGCCCCAUCUAUGUGGGCAGUGUUGUAGCUUUGCUAGUGGCAUAGCAGUUCGGGCCUUUUUUAGUGGGUUCCAUUCCAUCCUCUGGGUGCAGUUAUGAAGUCUCUAUUCCUUUUUGGAUUCUUGCCCUCUUCCUCUCCUCUUAGUUAUUAGACGACGGAGUUUGGUUCUCCGAGACACCAGUUCAAUUCUACUGAGGAAUACAAAAACCGUUUUUAUGCGUUACUACUACAGAUGUGUUUAUGGCGGUAGAGAGUAGGCCAUUACUUCCUGGCAUUCUUUACUUAAGGAUUGAUUCUUUAACCGCUUACUCGGAUCCUGACCUUACUAUUGGAAAUGAACCAGUGCUACGGGAAAAGUCACUAUUCGAGUAUAUCAGAGUAGUGUGGCAGCCAUGGAAGCGCUAGUGGUAUUCUAAUCCUUUUGUAUGCGCUAUCUCAUUCAUAUUUUCUAUCUAAGUAGGUAGUACACCUCUUUGGAAUAAUAGGAAGGAAAGAAACACCUAUAGCUUAUAGGAGUCUUAGAAUCAAAGAUAGGAAGAGCAGCCUUUAAAGCAGUAGCUGGGUUCUUUAACUAACAAGUCAGAAUGCCAGGCCCAAACUCAAGUAUCGAAUCAGGGCUCAAGUAUCGAAUCAAAGACAUCAGUGCGGGAAUUCAAGUCAGAGUUGUAAGUUUGGUAGUUAUCAGUAGAAGAAUCAAAGCCUGUAGCUCAAGUCUCAUAUUCCCUUAGCUCAAUUACUGUUAUCGGUGUUUGAUUCCCGGUUUCGAGCUAUAUCCCUAUUAGUUGACUUGGCGUCUAGUAUAAGCUUGGCCUUAGUAUGGACUUGCCUGUGUUUUAGUAGCUCCAUUCUAGUAGAGUAGAUAUAUAUUCCGAGUUGUUGGAUAAAUCCUUAGAGAGCACACAAAAGCAUAAGCCUGUAUUUCGAGGUCUUGUUAACACCAGUUUCAGUCGUUAGGGCAGUGUUGUAUUUUGUUGCUUCUGCACUGAAUUCCUUAUUUCCAGUUUGUACCCUCUGAUCCGAUGUCUGUUCUGUUACUACAAAGUUCAAUCCGUUGUAUUAGGGACGAGGCCUUUGCCUUUUUCUCACUAGUGCAAUUCCUACUUUCCACUUGUAACCUUAGCCAGCCAACUUCCAUCAUUCUGACUUGGUUAGUUUAAUGCCUCUGCAUCCGUAUGCAUUCUAAUACUACUUAGUCCAAUUCUUAUGGCCACACUCAAGUCUCAUACUUGUAACAAUGAGCUCAAUUCCUCCUUACCUGGCUGAGAGAACCAAACAAUAAGUGCAAUUCCAACUUGACGGUAUUAGUGUGUUAGCUCGUAUCCGGUCUUGCACCUCUGGUAUCCGGUCUUGCACCUAUGCCUGGUAUCCAGUAUUCCUUAUUCUCUUCUUGUUGUGGUCGGUGUUUUAUGAUUGUUGUGCAGAGUUCCUUUCUUAGUGUUAUAGCUCAUAUCAGUGUUUAGAGUAGAAGCCUAAUCUCUAGUUGGAGGGGGCAGUUUUCAGUCAACUUCUAGGAGUGGACAGCGAGGAGACAUAGAAUAGAAUAAGGCUUGGGCUACUGGGGUUAGUUCCAUAUUCCCUAGUUCAUUGUUUGACCCAGUAUAAGAUAGUAUUGUUUACACUUAUUUGAUUCAAUAGGUAGUGUAGCAUUCCUUGUUUCGUAUUUGAUUCUGCUAUUAAUGAGCUCAAUCCUGUGUUUGUAGAAGCACUGGUUCAACUCCUUAUUCUUUGUUUUUCUUCUGAUCAGUAAAGGAACCACACUUGAUAAGGGUAGUCAGCCUUGCAAUAAGGAGAGUAAGCCCAAUAGAGAAGAGAGGUGGUUUGAAACUAACGAGCAAGGCAUUAAGGCAGGAGCGGUAGACUUCAAUCAAGGAGCAGCAGACUUAUUAACAGGAAGGACAGUCAGAAGAAUAUUAAGUAAGACAAGGACCUGGACCGGUAGUGUUAGCCCUAGUUUGGAAGUUCCCUCUAUUGGGGGAGUAGUAGGCUCUUAGCACCUUGUUACUAUUCCAUUUCUGAUUAAAUAACCAAUAUAGUACAGAUUAUUCGUUUCUGACUUCUGAUGUCUUCUAGCGGCAUUGAGUUGAUACAGGAAAGGCAUACUCAGGGAAGGGUGUUUGCCAGCCUCUACCUCUACUUAUUGGUGUAUUGGUUGACUGCAUAAGUGCUCAUUAUAAUCAGAAUCAUAUACUUGUUCCCUUCUAAGUAUUCUUCUCCUUUCUUUCAUUCCGACCUCAGUUUCUACUCUAUUAGGUAGUGUUUAGUUUAUUACUUAUGAGUUUGAAUUCUGUGACUUAUGUUAAUCACACAUAAGAAUGCAAGGGCAAACAAAAGCAUUGAAGGCGGGAGUGACAGGCCAACAACCAACAAUAGGAAUAGAAUCCAGGAGUAUAGAAUCAAGGUUAAGAGCCGAAGCUCUAACUACAGGGAAUAAGGUCAUAGUUUUUUAUAGGAGUAAGUAAUACUUAGGGGCAGUUCAGUAAGCCUCUAGCUCAGACAUAGGCAUUGAGAUCGGGAAAGGAAUACUCAAACUAGGGGUAUGGAAUGCAAGUAAACCAUGCCAGAGUUGGAUAAGUCAGUUUCGGAAUGAGAUAAAGGAGUAUCUGAGUGUGAAGGGUAAGGCAGCUAGGUAGGGUCGUAAGGAUUGGGUGAGGGAGAGCGACAGGCUCGUGAGUGGAAUAAAGCUUUCAAGCAAGUAAAGUAAUGCUAAUAGGCACUAGUUGCGGAAUGAACCAAUAGAUAUUGAUUGAGGUGAAGCAGAGGUGGACUUGAUCUAGCACGAGUAGGGACAGACUCACUGGGGCAGUAGUAAAGUUUUCAAGUGAAUAGCGGUAGGCUUGAAACAAGGAGAGCAAUACUCAUAGACAGGAGUGUUUCACUCGCUACCGCGUCACGCAAAGGCAUCAGCUGCAAUAACAACUAUGAAACUCUUUAUUGGUUUUUCUUAUUGAACACACUUUAGCGUAACGAGCAACUCUGACGCACCACAUUAGGCUCAACUACACUUUUGCUAUUAAUUAGGACUUCGCCCCAACUCUAGUAUUUGAUUUGAAGCGAGGUCUACUUCAGUCUCGUCUUCCAGUCUUGUUCCAGAAGCAGAUGAGGCUGCCAAUAACAUAUGAUUCCCUUAAAGCCAGGGCAGAAGCUAAUUAUUCUUCGUAGGGGUUUACAGACACAGCCGAUUCCCUAAUAGCCUGCCCAUUCUAGUAUCAAUGAGACUCUAUUCUUUAUACGAGAAAACAGGAACUAGAAAUGGAACUGAACCUUGAAACUGUGGAGCUUGACAAAGAGGGCUUUCUAUAGAUUGAUUCAUUCAUAGGUGAGUAAGGCGCUGCUUCUUUGCGCUCCAGGAAAUGAGAUUGAUUCCAAAGGCGAAGAUUUCCAUGAACUAAAGCCCGAGGUAGAGCGUAGGUCGUAAGCCUGCCUUCCUUAUUUGUAGAAAAGUAGGGGCGGAUAGCUUGACACCCAGAGAGAUAGGCGUAGCGCAGGGCAGGAUAGACAAUCUCCGAAGAAAAGAAAGAGUAUAUAUACCUUGUUUGGCUUAGACGAAGGAAGUCCAUAGGGGUAGAGCGCCAUGCCGAGAAAGUCAUGCUGCGGAUAAAAGAGGUUGCCCAUAUCAAAGAAAUGAAUUUGACUCAUUAUAUCAAAUAAUACGUUAUACUUCCUUAUUCUGUCGAGUAAGCUCAAUUACUUCAACCCUCUCCCUUAAGUAUCGGUUACCACUCACUCUGGGUAGUAAACAAACCCUAUUAUUUCUAUACUUACGUUGUGUCGGUUACCACUCAUUCUGGGUAGUAAACAAACCCUCUAAACGGACUAAUGGUACAGGGAAGUGAAUAAGCUAAAUGGUAUAGGGAAGUGAAUAAGCUAAUGGUAUAGGGAAGUGAAUAAGGUGAGUAUGGAUAGGCUCAUGAAUUAUAGUUCCGGGGUAAAUAAUCUCUUAUGUUAUAACAACACCUACAGCAAACACAACGUAGGAAAUAUCAGAACCCCUAAUUAUAAGAAAAGUCUUAGUUCGCUAUUACAGCCGCCGACGAGAAUGUCAUGAUGAUAUUGCUAUGUGCGCCACUCUAGCUUUGAUCAUAUGUUUUUAAUAGUAUUAUGGGAUUUUUCAUAUUCGUCGUAGAUUGAAAAGGGAUAAGUUCUUAACUGACAGAGUCUAAAUAUCACACACACCGGAUAGAUCAUUCAAUGGAAAGCCGAAGGCGAAGAGUUAGGUGAGAGAAAGCGUCCUUUGCUUUGUUGAUACCUAGUGUACACGGCCACCUACUUCAAUGGAUUCAUAAAGCUUGUGCCCUUUCUCUUGCUGGCCUUGCUUCCUUUUGUUCACCGCGAAGAAUUCCAUCUUGAAAGAGAGAAGAAAGAGGCUUUGUUAGGAAUUUCAGAAUCAAAGAAUAGGAUGCUUAACUUGAAUGUCCAGAAUGCGCUCUUCUUGUUACAGAAUAAGCUGCACAUGAACUGGUCGAGUGAAGUGAGUAAGCCCCUGGAGAGAGAGAUAGGAAAAGGGCAUGGCCUAACAGCUUUAUUGAGAGAUUUCGACACCAUUGAGAAUUGGUGAAUGAAUCUGACCCCUAUCUCCGUGGUGGAAGUUCCGGUCGCCAUUGAGAAUGAUUUCAUUAAUUAGCCUCUAUCUCUGUGGGGGAAGUUCCGGUCGUCAUUGCCUAAGUAAGGUCUGGCUCAGAAAGCACCUCCACCCGGGUAGAAGGCUAGGUCAAGUAGCCUUAAUAAUCAAGUAUGAGAAGGCAGCGCAGCAAGCCGAUCCGACAUAGGUUCAAAGGCAUGCACCUUUCCUUAUCUCAAACACACACACACACAUCUUAUUAGAAUAUCAAAAGUAACAAAACCAUACCUUGCUCUAAUGAAAAGAAAAGAAUAUAAGAAACAUCUAAAUAUAGUAACAAAACCACAUCAACACUCUAAUGAAAAUCAUAUAAGUCACACACAUAUUAUAGAAAGAAGUAACAAACCCACAUUUGAAAAGAAUAUCAUAAAGUGUGCACAUAUAUAUCUAAGAGAAGAAUCGGACCCAUGCAUAUACUAUACAAUACUCCCUUCUUCUGAUUUCUGAUAUACUAUACAAUACUCCCUUCUUCUGAUUUCUUGUUGAAGAGAGCUAUCAUCUCUUCAGGGUAGCUGACCACAUGCCCUAACACCAAUUCUCAGUCUCUUAAGCAAAGUGGAGUCUCUUUUGGCCCCCGCUGCUUCUGUUAAAGAGAUAUGCUGCAUUGGAAGAAAACGUAGUUACAGAGCCAUGACAGUUGUUAAAAGGAAUAUGCUUUUGGAGGAACUCUUACAUGAUGGCGGAUGAGAAAUAAGGGGUCAAACUAUUGACUUUCAAAGGAGAGAUUGUAGGUCAAACUAUUGACUUUCAAAGGAGAGAUUGUAUUCCCCAUCCGCUAGAUAGUAUAUUAGUCCCCAUCUAAGGAGUAGCUAUCAUUCCAUGCCUCCACUGCUGCACAUCAUAGCUUGAAGUGCUGGUUGGCUCAACUUGCUCCUUCUUUGGUUGUUGAGGUGGAAACUUCCCUUCCAACUUCCUAUUCUUCAAGACGAGUUCACCCAUCCGUCGAGUGAGAUCAAUCUCCUUGAGCUUCCCACCUCUCCUAAUCCUAACUAAAGGGCUAGGGCCUUCCUCUAUGCAUAGUUAGAAACAUUAGAGCCCACCACUAGAAGGAUUCCCUUGCGUCUGUCACUUAUGCCUCCGCCUUUAUCUAGUAUAUUCUCUCCUCGUUCUAAUUAUACUUAGUUGGUGUUGCUAGUUUCAUAAAACACUUCUUUGUAGAGUAAUCUGCCCUCCUAUCUGCUUCUCUGAUCGAUGCCGUCUUCUUUUGACUACUAAAGCCUUUCGUCGCUCUCAUUGCUUUCCGAUAGCUGCUUUGUUCCGGGCAAGAGGAACUAUUGAGGGCAUCUCUUCCACUUUAUGCGUUUAGUGUCACUACACUACUGAACAACUCUUCCUUAAAGCAAAAGCAUACUUAGAGGCUAAGGGAAAGGAGAAUAAGUUCACAGCUUCACUCCGAUCCGUAUCAAGAUUAUUAUCUGGAUUCUAUUUCUGUGGAAUCGAGCUUUGCCCCUUACCGGAAAAAGUACUAUCGAAAUAGACUUAAUACACUGUUAACUAGUCCUGUUUUUGGCUAACCCAUUGAAUAUCUCUCCUCGCCCCCAAAGGAAUCAUUGAAUUCAAAAGGUGAUCGAGCUCCCGUUAGCGCCCCAGAACCUUUGCUUUGCUUUCCUAAUCUUACACUUGAAACUAAAACGGAUUUCUUGCUUGUGGCUUCUGGAACCCUACUUAUAGAAUCUGGCAACUCAGAAUGAAUUUGAUCCAAAAGAGUGGAGCGGCCCCAAAAGCAUCUAUUGUAAUAACUUGUCAUAUCUAUUACCUUGGCUACCGCACUUAGUCUUGCGCCUAAGCUUGGUCGUUAGUAGUUGCUUGGCUCCUUACGCGCACCUAAACUAUAUUACACAGAUACUGGUUCCCUUUCAAGCUUUGGAGUGAACAAGAUUCUUCUGUUGAGUUGAAGCGGAUUCAGAACUUGUGGAUUCCCUUGCUGGUUCUUUUCGAUUUGAUUUGUAUUCAGAUCCUGCCCCUGCCGAUUAUUCCUCUCUUAGAGACUCUCCUCGCACUGCUGCCACUGCUGAUUCUGUUGCGAGAAUGCAAUGCACUCGGUCAAGCUAAUCACGCAAAGGGAAGGGAUAUAGUUCACAAAGGAAUAGCUGCUCCCCUGGCAGAACCCCUAUGGCAACUGAAAAUAAGGAUGAACUUUCUGAACCGCUACAUAGGUCUCAGUCAAUAAGCCUAGCAACGGGUGGGUCCUCACUUCAACAUAUGGAACUCGUAGACACCUUGCUGAAGAACGAAACUCUUAACUUCCCGCUUACCCACUGCUUUUAACCGCUAAUUCUCUUGUUACUGGUGAUACUCCUGCUUUAUAUAGGUACUCCUAACCAGCUCUAACUGCUUCCUUUCCCUAUUUUGAAUCUACAGAACAAGCAGGAAUUGACCUAGACUUAACUGGCACACUGCUCGCUUCUUCUCCGGAUCAAGCAUCUGAUCUUAUUGCAAUACCAGAUAACGAGUUGUUGGCUUUCACACCAGAUGGGGAGCGCCGAGGAAACUCCAUUCUCAAUUCGAUUCUUUUACACCAAGGUACGUAAUUUAGCGCAUGUGUACUGUAUGGAUGACUUCUUAUCUAUUAGGCAUUGGCAUCAGCUCUUUCAAACGCAAACAAGAAUCUUUCUAGGAAUUGAAGACCGCUGGUGGUUUAUCUGAUUCUUGCACUAUUUGGGUGGUUACUUAUUCUAUUAGUCUUAGGUUUCAGCCUUGUUACCUGUAGCCAUCGUUCGCUGCCCUCGUUUUUAGCUAUCGCCUUGUUAUCAGUGUUUGGAUCCCUAGCCUAGUUAUGAGUCAAGGUCUUAUUAGCGAAAGUGAAAGCCUCAUUCUAAUGUAGUGAAUUCCAGUUUUGGUUGUGACUUCUUAAGGUGAGUAGCUAGGUGCACUAGAUCGUGCGUACCCAUAUUCUUAUUCCUAUUAUUAGUUAGUUGGUGGCUAAUAGGUGAAAUGCAUACUUCAAACAAGGAGAGCUAGUAUUUGGUGAUAACUUCCAUUACAGUUUUCCUUGGCGCAAUUAGAUCUUCCGCUUCUGCUUUAGCUAUUGGUGUUAGUGGCUGGAGGUCGUAGAGAGACUUUCCCUCCUUUGACACGUUAAGGGUCGAAAAGAUGUUCUAGCUUUCUUGGACUCCAAAUCGGGAUGAAUAGCUUCCUUUACAUUAAGGGCGCUUCAGAUGGAAGGGACAGUAGGUCUGGUCUAGUUGAGAGCCCCGUUGCUUGUUGUGGUACAAAGAAUGGAGCAUUAUCAAGUAGCGAAUGAAGUCUUAGAGAUCAGGUGAGUAAGCCGAUCAAGAUUCCUUUCCAGUUUUCCGCGUUAGGUUACGGAGUAGAUUCAAUCAAGAGGUCGGUAGGGAUUACUUGAGCAAAGAANNNNNNNNNNNNNNNNNNNNUAGGAUCCAUUCCCAUAAAUCUUCUAUGAAUCAAAAUAAGUAACAUUAUCUAUGAGAGAAAAUCCUUAGCAUGAAAUUACUUCCUACACGAGAGUUGCGCCCCUUUAUUCAUUAUGGGGAACGCCAAGCGUAAUUAGCUGCAAGACUCACUAGCUGUGUUCUGUCCGGGUAGUCCGCAUCUUGACUGUUGCUUCCAGUACAGGUGGUGGAGCAGAACCAAGGGAAAUCGGGCUGGCUCUGCCUGUUAGCGGACUAAAUACAUAACAAGGAAAAGCUGCAUACAUAACAAGGAAAAACAACCAUCGUAGCUCCUUUGCCAAUCCAACUCCGAAUGAAUCAAAACUAUACUCUGCCCGACCACUUUCUACCAAGUGGGAUCAUAGAGAUCUGCAUGAUUGAAACCCAAUACACAGAUUUCGAUUAGAUCAAAUAUAGUCCCCCAUAUCCCAUUGGACUUAUUGUCGAGGGUAGGAUCCUAGGGUUAUAUCAUAAGCUCCGUUUUUUUCGACUUAUUAAUCUUUCUUGGGGAACCCUCUCCGUCUCUUUCUACUUCAUCUUUGGCUUGGGGACAGGCUAAUCAUUGACGAACCUUCGCCCACGUCUAUCUCCGAGUCAACUCGCAAAACGGCGUAGGAGGCUUUCUCUAAGCUGUCCUAUGCUACAAACCAGAGGGUAACAGGGCAAGCUCUUUCAAAGAUAUGAACAAGGGACCAUAGCUAUGGUUGAAUAUAAAGUGGACAUCAACAGGAAGUGGAACCUAGAAUAGUUCAAAGAAAGAAGCGCGUGAUUCACACCAGUAGAACAAGAAAGACAGAAUUUCGAGUGUAUUUUCCAUAGUGAUAUUUGAGCCUAGUCCUAUACUAUAGAGCGCCAUAGUUUGACCCCUGCGUGAGCAUCGUUUGAUCCUCAUAGAAGGAGUUUAGUCCGUGAUACAAAAGCGAAAAACACUCCAAAAGCUACUUGAAAGUAAUUCCAGAAAGAGAUUAACUAAUCGGUGCAAACUUCAUAAGAACUGUCUAUGAUUCAGACUGGAUUUCGAACAUAGUCCCGGCCAACAGAAACACCUAUUUAGUGGUCAACAACCUAGAUUAAGGAAAAAGAAAAUAGAUAUAUGUCGUCUUAAGGAAGGACUAUUUUUCUGUACGGAAUCGAAAACCAGAAAAUGGAAUGCAAAGAGGUUUGUAUAGAUUGAGGUAAUAUUACUAACAUAUAUACUAAAGCUUUGAGGUUAGGUAGAGCCAGCGCUAACAGAGUUAGAGUUUUUGACUUUGUUUCUUUUCUUUCGAGCUAAUACGGAUUUUCUUGAUUUCUUUCGAGCUAAUACGGAUUGAUCUCUUCUUACUUUCGAGCUAAUACUGAGUUCUUUCGAGUAAGGUGUUUUUUUGUUACUUUCUUAUAUUAUCUGUGCACUUCUCACUUAUUGAGUUAGGUGAGUUCAACAGUUCCAUUUCCAUUUCGCCUAAUUCAAUAACAUUAUCCUUACCUUUGGAAAGACCUUAUUAUUCAUAUGUAUGUGAUAUUCCAUGUGUGAAUACUUUCUCUUUCUUUCUUGAACUGGAAGCCAUGCGAGAGGAUGUAGGGCUUCAGCUUCCAACUAAUCUGGUUGCCAUGCGAGAGGAUGUAGGGCUUUCACUGCCAACUAAUCUGGUUUUGUUGCUGGAGUGCCUUAGUCUUGCAUUUCCUUGUUUUGGUUCAGGGGUGCCUUAGUCUUGCAUUUCUUUUGAUUCUUCACACACAGGCCCAGACUUCUUAAUGGUUAGCGAUAGCAGUAUCCGGUUUAGUAUCAAUCAGCCAAGCAACGUAUAGACAAGUAACCACUAGAGCAAGUAAAGGAACUGGAGUUUUACCUAAUGUUUGACAUAGCCCUGUUUUCAAGUAAUACAUCCUGUCCAGAGUAGGAACUAAAUCAGAAGCGGGAACUCGAUAAGAUACUGUAUACGGGGAGAGGUUUAGGAGAAAUCAAAGUAAUACAUCCGGGGAGUAGGUAAAGAGCAGAAGUGAAGCGGCAGUAACGAAAUGCUGAAAGAGGAGACUCGUAUAUGACAGCUUCCUUUAGCACAGCUCCUGACUCAACAAGCAAAGGAACUCGCACCCGAUACGUAAGCGGAAGAAGGCCAUUAUCUACGAAUGGAUUUUAGCACAGAAGCAUCUGAUCUUAGCGCAGUCAAAUCAUUAAUCGAAUCUUUAGAUUGGAGCGCAGAAGCACAAGUACUAACAAAGCACUGGUUGCCCCAUCCCAUAUAGUGAGUUUUCACAGGACUAACUGUCCCUAUAGCUAGCCUAGGUUAAUACUUUUGGACUUUGUAGCCACCUACUUUUGCCAUGACCCCUGAAAUGCAUUUUCCGCCAUUAAUCCUUUUGUUUUGUUUCGACCUUAGGAGUAAUCUACUUUAUCUACUAUACAAGAACGUUCGCUACGGCUAACAUAGCAUAUAAGUUCAAGUGAUUCAUUUCUCUGUCCGCAAGAUAAGUGAUUGUUUCCUAUGUGUCAGCUGCUCGAAACAGGGAUUCCUGUGCUGUUUGCCUCGGUGCAAGUCACAUUCCUAGCCCUACUGGUCCAGACUUCUUAAUGGGGUAGCAAGAGAAGUUCCAGUCUCGUAUGGAGCGGGUGCUUACGUAAGAAAGCUUUUUGUACCUUCGAGUCGUUUCCCAUAGGUUUGACUUUGAGAAUUCCGCCUUAUUUUAUGGCCCUUAACCAACACCGUGAUUAUGGCCUUCCUAGCGCCCAGCCCUUGAAAGUACAGUAAUAUCUUAGCGCCCUCGCUUUCCACUCCAAUAAGUAAAGUAUUAACCCCGAACGAAACUCCACUCGCUAACCUUACAGCUGACUCAACAAUAACUUUCAUGACAGCUUCCUUUCGAACUGGAACUCAACUACAUAACCUCGCUGAAGAAUCCAAAACACUUGUGGACCUGAACAAAUACAACUUUCAGCUCUCCACUUCAAGUACUGGUUUCGGGCCUAUUUUGGACUUCAAAGUGGAUUUCACCCCGUAAAAGAAAGGGCUCAAUAACAUUGGUUCAGUUAGUGUAUUUACAGAUAGAUCUAUACAAUGUGCUCGAUAAGAUAUAUAUGCAAUUAAUGUGUUUGCGAGAUGAGCUGCUUUAUAUGCUAUUCCUAUUCCAAAUAGGCUCACAAAAGAGAUAGGUUAGUUGGUUUGUUUGCCCUAGUUACAUAGCUCAAUUCCCUUCUUCAGACAAGGGGUAGAUCGAAAGCAGGUAAGGGGAUAAAGGCAUAGAAGGAGAUAUGGCACUUAUUAGGGUUUUCCGGAAUUAGCUCACUAUUCCAAUAAGAUAUCUUGCUAUUCUCCGAUCAACCGAGGGAAGAAUCUAAGUUUACAUAUCGGCCUCAACCCAUCACUGAGUCAGAACAGAAGCAGUUCGCAUGUACAUGAACAACCUACGACCUGACAUGUAGUAGGUAUAUCUACAAGGUGUACGGCCCAUUCACUUUGGAAGAGCUUGCUUCCAAAGCCACAGAUGGAUAAAUGGGUUUCUAGUCACAUCGCCAGACGAUCGUUGUUCGUUGAUAAAGUGACUGAUAAAGAAGGAUGGAACUCCUGAGAAGAACAGACAAAAGAAGCCUGUGUGGUAGAACCUAUAACUUCCGGUCCUACCUCAGAUGGGAACAUGAGACCAAGAAAAACCAACUUCUAGCCAAAGAAAGCUAGUAAGCAAAAGCCGAAUCUUAUCAAAGAAGAAACGGUCCUCCAAAGUGGAUAAAGGAGAAAGGCAUUCCAGAAGAAGAAGUAAAUGACUUAUUUAAAGAAUUGAGUUCCACCCCUGCAAUGGAAGAAUGGAAUUGAAGGAUGAACACCACUGGAAUGGAAGAAUGGAAUUGAAGGAUUUAGUUCUAUCAAUCUCAUCGAGUUGCCAGACUCUAAGCGUCCACAUGAAGCAGAUCGUGUAGGGUAUCCAUUAUAUUGCCCAGAUGGUUUGGGGACAAUCCCAGAUUGCUUUGUCCUAAAGCAAGCGCUAAAUCCAUCGGCUGAGAAAUUAAGGAACCAUAGACGUCGGUAACUCUGGAAUACUAUAAAGAAGGGUCAGAAGGUGGCUGCAUCCAACAUGGCGACUUAUUCUUGCCUCACGAUCGAUGUAUUCGACGAAGAUGAUGGCCUACUCUACUUCCCGGAGGAGCCCAUUUAUGUAAAAAAGAGAACUCUAAGGUCGGGUACUCAAUUACCUGACGUACAGCCUCCAGCACCAGAAGUGGGGGCGUACCAAGCUCUACCUAAGCAAACUGCUUCCCCUGAGAGAAUCAAAUACAAUGUAAUGUCCGAAUCAAAUACCCUCCCCUCCUCUCCUUGCUAAGCGUGUACGACGCAUUGUGUCUAUCUUCAGAUCUUAGAGAGGCGCUGAUUACAGCUCUUUCCUUUCUUGAGGAAACUAAUGCAGAGGUUUCCAAAAUCGACACAUCGACGGCUCGGCUCAAUGCUGUUCUAUAUAAUGAGAAGAUUCAGACUUGGGGGACUAAGUUUCACAACCGGCCCUUCCCUUGUUGAUGGCUGUAAGUCUUUAAGACAUCACCCAGUACCCAGAAUCAUGUUAGACUUCGGCGAUAAACAUAAUCCUUUGGAAGAUGCUGCUUAAGUUGGGAUAUACUUUUCAUGAUCUCAGUCCAACCAAUACAUGAUACAAGGAUUCAACCAAUCGGUCAACAAGCCCUAGGCACCAUCAGAUUACGGUUAAUGCUCGAAGAUAUGAUGACUUAUGUCUCGAGUAAUCGAUGCUAUCACCUAAACCAAUGUGCUUUUGGGACGUCCUUGGCUACACGAGCACAAAGUAGUGCCCUAUACAUGGCAUCAGUGUUUUAAGUACAAUACUCCCGAAGUCGGAACCCAAUAGGAUCUUUGCUAAUACCAAGCCUUUCACGACGACAGAUGCAUUCUAUGCGGAUUCCAACAUUCUAUUUGGAGCCGGAUUUUGACCGACACCUCCAGAUUCCAUGGCUUUUAUUGGAGAAAUUCCAGAAUAAUAUUUUAGCAGGUCGCAGGCUUACCAUGAAGAAAGAAGACUUCUCGCAACAUCCCUAGUGAGCACCGUCGGGAAAGUUCUCCCAUCUUGAAUAUAAGGAGUAUCUCUCGAAUGGGUGUCCAUGUCUAAGACUAAAGAUCUCUCUAAACGUGGUCAUACCAGUUGAUGCCACUAAGGCGGAGAGAAGACGGAAGAGGAGACGCCCUGCCACUAGACGUCCUCCUUUACGUUCUCUUCCACGAAAGUUCGAUGUUACCACAACUAUCGACAAGAAUUAAGGUAGUGAAGCGUAACUCUCCGUUGCAUGAUUCUAAAGUUAUUCACUUGAUGACGGAAAUUGGCUAUGACCCUUUGAAAAGGUAAAGGUAGCUCUAUGGCUUUUGACCGUACUGCCUCAAUUACCUCCAACACUUAAAGAAUCCGGAAUGGUAGCUAUGGUCUGAGCUAAGCAGCAGACAUUUGGACUAUAAGGUGCCCUAUCCUUAUAAACCUCCUUAUAUAAUCAAAGUAUAAGCUUAAACCUCCUUAUAUAAUAAUAGUAUAAGCCUUACCACCCUUUUCAGGAAUUAGCUAACUAUUACAAUACACGAUUUCAUGAUUACCUGAUCUAGAGUAGCCUUAUCUCGAUCACUUCUUUUGAGGAAACAUCAGAUUGAACAUAAUGAUACCAUUGACAAAUUGGCAUAAUCAUUUGAUAACGCGAGAAAGCAACUACUUUAACAAGGAAGGCAGGCACGGAAAGGAAUACUUUCAUUAGCAAUUCGCUUUAUUCGCGAGUAAGGCCUUACUGUCUUUCUUAAGAUUGAGAUUCUAUUCUCUAUGCUUUUCAUAGCCCCCGUCAAGCCUUUCUUUUUCUCUCUAUUAUCCGGGUCCCUAAUCCAAUCUCUGUUAGAGAAGCACUAGAUAAGCCAAGCCCCUAAUAACCCAAAUAAGCACUCUAUAGGUUUAACGCGUAGCACCUAAAUAAAUAAGAUUAUGUCCCUGAUCGUAGAAUAGAAAAGGAGGAUUAUAUACCAGCUAUUCAAAAGAAAAUUAUGGAAGAAAAGUCAAAUGGGCCUCAGACUCUUUAUUAGCCCUACUUCCUUUAUAUCCCAGCUAACGUAGUUGACGCUUUCUGAAACAGUUAGAGAAGCACUUUGACCAUCUGGGAACGGAAAGCAUAUAUCUCGAAAGAAUAGGACUCCAUAAUGGUAAGGACUUGAACGCUUAGCUCUUCUGGCGAAGUACUAAGAAGCUUUGGCCGCAAGUAGCCAACUUCGGACCCAACUACUUUUCCCCCAAGACCUACAGUUUCUCCUCUGAUGGGUCUCACGCAAUUCUUAGCUUCCCUUUUUCUCUGGAAGGAAAUUCUCUUCUAAGGGGGAAUGUGGACAUAAUGUUUUUCCCUAUCGUCACAACACCAUAUCUGUAUUUCCUUUCCCCAGAGGUUCCUGAAGAAACUGGCCUGGCCCGGCUUUUGGGACAUUUCCGGAGUGAUAGAAAAGUGGUAAGUGUUAGAUGUAACAAUGAUUGUCUUAGCUGUGGUUGUGACAUAACUUCUGCUCUUAGUCAUUCUUUUAGAGUAUCUUCGUUGUUACUUGUCUACUUCUCCUAUUUCUUGUCUACUUCUCCUAUUUGACUCGGUGAUACACACUUGUUUGCCACGUCCACGGGCUUUUCCCUAUUGAUGUCUCCCUUUAUACUUAUCUUUCACGUGGUGACUCGGGUUCCUCGGCAUCUUCUGAACUUAGUGGAACUUCUGUAGAUUGCUCCCCCAAUCAUAUCUCUUUUCGCUUUUUGAUCCUUCUCGGAAAGCUUAUUUAUUUACGGGCAAUUCCAUCUAUUUAGGUGCCCACCAAGAUGAUGCCUCAUCAAACACUACAUUUGGAGACACAUAGCACCGACUGGUUGUCGGGUUACAACCUUUCCUUUUAUCCUGUUAUCAUAUCCCACAAAGAUGCCGGUGCCCUUGGGAGCUUCGACUUUUGUCCAUCCUAGUCUUAGAAGCCUAAUAGCUAAAGUAUUUCUCUCUAGUCCAGGAAGUAAGACAUGAAGGAGUAGUAAAACCCAUUCGCAAAGAAGCCGGAGAAUACCUAGUUUGUUUUAUGAAAUGGCCGUUGUAAGCUACUUGUUGGCUUUGACCGAAGAAGACCUUUCUAUACGGAGUUGGUAGUACCUAUAACCGGAACUAGGUCUUAGAGUCUGAUCAUCGAAGGCACUUCUUUUGCUUAAUAAUAAAGUAUCUGGUACAACCUCUUCUGCCGCGGAGUAAGAGUAUGCCUCUCCUUUUGGACCGAGGGUUACUGGUACCACAGGAAACAAAAGAUCUAUUUAUUAGAAAACUAUACGAAUCAAGACCGAAAUAGACUACAUUAGAUAGAAGAAAGUGGGAAGACAGGACGGAACCUUCUUAGCUGGGUGUUGAGGCUCUGCAAGACCUGCGGGUAUCUUUCUAUUUCUAUAUCAACAUAAAGAGAUUCGUGAGCUGCGCACUCUUUUGACUGGUUAACAAAGAAGUCAGCACACCUCUUCCGGACCUGUUAUUCAGGAUGGGCCGGCUAAUGCCACUGCAUUUAGUAGCACCCUUGGCGUAGCCUACGCAGUCAACAAACUCUCCACUGAAACAAAGAACCAGAAUCCAGAAACUCUUUGCAUUAAGAGCCCCGAGAGUAAAUGAUUGAACCUACGGCCUAAUCUAAAUGCAUGAAACCAGGCUAAAGUGGAUUCCAGAGGUCCAGCGAAAUCUUUCCUUUUCGGGGUUCAAUCCUUAUCGCUAAAUCAGACAUUUCAUAGCUUAUAGCCUUUUUGGAUUUGAGAAAGUACGAUGAGUCCGGACACCGUAAGAGGAACUUAGACCUUAAACUGGAGUUAGCUGUUUCUUAGUUCAUUCCUUCCCAGCUAAAAACAUGAACUGAGUUACUAGUGGGCAAGAGGACUCAGAGGCGUCGUAGUUUCUUUAUGAAACAAUCAUUCCAAUGGUCAUUGUUCCAUUGGUUAUAUUCCCUCCAUUGGUUAUAUUCCCCCGGGAUCCACUAGUCAUUGCCUUUAGGCCUUGAGUCCGCCGUUCCUAGUUAUGCCAUUUCCUAAUACUUCUCCUAUUGCCUUGACUCCUACUGCCCUACCACCAAGACCGGCAACAGCAGCAGAUUCGCCGACAGCUGAGAAUGAGUCACCGGAUAUUCCGUAUUCGAAGAUGCAAGUCCAUCUUCACCCAAUACAUCAGAAUGGCUAAUUACAGAAAGAUAAACGAGGAAAGAAUCCGUUCAGUUCUUUUACCACGGUAUGAACUAUUUCUCUAGAACAUAUAAUGAAAGCCAAUCUCGAGAUCAAGCUUCCGAUUUAUAGACCUAAAC
rnacentral:lncRNA from 1 species